rnacentral:lncRNA from 1 species
UGAUUUUGAUCUUCCCUGCUCGCUGAAAGAAUGGAAGUCUACACAUUACGUACCCAUAAAGCGUAGUAUCCACAUGAUCCACAGCUUUAUAUGCUUGAAGAUCAAAUGUUUGAUAUGCAGAGAUUUGUAUCUAUAUUACGGGCCUUCUUAUUGAUACGUUUUGCCAGAAUAAUUCGUGGAUUUUAAUGAACCUCAUCUAAUAUUAUUCUCUAUUCUGUGGGUAGGGCAAAUCAGGAGCCAAAUAUAGUAUAUUUCAUGUAGUGAAUCUAUAACUCGUGAAAAAUUGGAAUGGUAUAUUUGUAUUUUUAUUCUCUUCUCUAUUAUCUCAAGAAGUUUGAAGCAGAUUACUUGAAUCUUGCUACUUUCUCCUAAGGAUUCUGUCCCUGAAUUAAUGUAGUUUUCUGGACUUCACUGUUUAUUCACAAGUUAUUUUGUUAAGGACACCAUAGCUAUAUUUUUUUAUUUGUCUGAGCGCAUUGCCUUUUGUGAAUCACCUUGAUUCUACAAAGAUAUCUAUCUAACUAAAAGACGAAUUGAGGAUGAUGGCAUAUUCUGUUCCUGCACUUCAUCGAAAUCAACAAAUGGCUGUGAUGAAGAUUGUCAUUGUGGGUAAGGGCCAAUUCUUUUCAUUUCUGCUCUUUCAUUGUUGAAUCUGGAAUCACGCUACUCGGAGAAUUAAGAAGGUAGUAUAUAUUCAGUAGCUUUAAGGAUUUAGAACUUUUGAAGCUGUUUACUCGUUGAGAAAGCAAACAAUAGAACACACAAGCACAUAAUUACACCCAAUAUAAAUACAAUUUAGAUUUGAAGUCCAAUUAUUGGCAUAUCUUCUGAAGUGUUUGAUUUCUUAAUCAGGAUGCUGUUCUCUACUUGUUCAUCUAGUUGCAAAUGCAGCAGUAACUGUGCCAAUAAACCAUUCCAGUACAGAGCUCCAAAGAAAAUGACGGUGGUGAAGGUACAGUCGUGGUUUUAAAUCUGUGGUACAUGUGGUUUUAAAUCUGUGGUACAUGUACACAUUAUGAAGUAGAACAUAAGAUUUGGACGAAUCAUUGAAUAUUCUGUUAGUUUAACAGCUGGAUUUGCAAAUGUCACUCAGAGUAGGAUUCUUUAACUUCAAGAUUUUAUUGUGGACUUAUUCAUAUGAUUUGAUGAAUGGCAUUCUGGAAAUACUAAAUUAUGUCACUUUAUUUGCUCUUAGUAAUGUGAUGGACAUAAAUGAUUAUUAUGAUUAUGAUUAUUAUGAUUACUAUUAUUAUUAUUAUUAUUUUCUUCUUUUUGAGAAGAAAUUAUUAAUAUUAUUGAUGUUACCCUAUAUUAUUUUCUUUUGAGAAUAAAUUAUCAUCCCUCUAGAUAGGAUUUAACCUAUUGAAUUUAAGUAAUAAAAAAGAUGUAGACAGAGGUUUAACAUGAUUACAUAAAUUUGUAAUCAUGAAUUAUUCAUCCCAAGUACUGAAGAUAAAGGCCAUUUUCGUGUCUUCUUUAAUAAUUUCUUCCCUUUUUUUCUAGACAGAGAAAUGUGGUUUUGGCUUGGUAGCAGAUGAAGGGAUAAAACAGGGUGAUUUUGUUAUAGAGUAUGUGGGAGAAGGUAUUUAUAUUUAUUUAUUAUUUGUUAAAACCAUCUACUCUUCAAAUCUCCAUCAAGAAGACCAAAAAAAGGGAAAAAGAACUCGUGCAAGUUCACUUAUUUUCUGGUUAUUUCCUUAUGUCCAAUUUAUUCUGUUGAUAGUAAUUGAUGAUAAAACUUGUGAGGAAAGACUCUGGAAUAUGAAGGGCCGUGGAAAUACCAACUUCUAUCUAUGUGAGGUCAGUCAUGAUAUGGUAAUUGAUGCAACAAAUAAAGGAAACAAGUCGAGAUUUAUAAAUCACAGUUGUGAGCCAAAUACUGAGAUGCAGAAAUGGUACUCUCUUAUUUUUCAUGUCUUAUUAUAUUAUAAUCUUAUCUCCAUUUUCUAUCAAUAGCACAGCAUGUAUUGAAGCUUCAUGAUACUUUGCAGGAGAGUUUGUGGAGAAACUAGAGUUGGCAUCUUUGCUCUUCGAGACAUACAAAGAGGCGAGGAAGUGACCUACGAUUAUAAGUAUGCCAAUCUUUCAGAAUGUAAAAACAACUUCUCUUUCCUUGAAAGCAGAAGCUUUUAGAAAAAUGUUGUUUGUCUAAGAAGUUGGUUUGAGCUUUUGCUGCAGUAGAAAGCCAAAAUGAGCUUCUGUGCUCUGAAAGAGGCUCUAAUUGGAAGCUUCCUGCUUCUUGCGCAGCGAGAAAUUGUAGAGAUGUUAAUGGUAAAACGUUGAGUUCUUUUUUGAGCAGCACUUAUCCGAAAGCUGGAGCUUGUUGCCUUGUCCAAACUAGCAGUUCUUAUUAAGCAAGUAUCCUUUUUUCUAACACAGUGCUUCUUACUAAUUAAUAACAUGACUAUUUUUCAGCACCUUGUUAUGUUGUCCUUAAAAAGGAGUGAUGAUUGAUGGUUGUGAUCAUGUAAUACAAUUUGCAGAUUUGUCCAGUUUGGAGCUGAUCAAAAUUGUUAUUGUGGAACUCUGAGCUGCCAGAAAAAGCUAGGCAACAAGCCCAGUAAGCUUUUAUCUUCUCACUUACUUGAGGAGUCUUUGUUGUACUAAACUACUAGCAAAUAAUUUGCAUCUAAUUUUAAACCAGGAGGUUCACAUCAAGCGCUUCUCGAUAAAAGAAAAACCCACUUUUCGAACUGUAUCGGGGAGCUUGUGCGUGUGUGGCAGCCGCGGGAUAAGAUGUAUGCACUAAGUCUUAACUCAAUUGUUUUAAUGUCAAUCACUGGUCGAUAUUGCAAGUGUUUCUUCAUAGAAAUGGUAGUCAGUAUUAUGUUAGUUCGCUCAUGCAUUUGGGGAAUCCAUGCAAUGAAUUUAGUAUGUGGUUCAUUGCAAUACAAUGAAUUUUGUCGAUGCUUAAGGUUUCUUGCCUUCUUUCUUCUAUUGUAAAUGCUCAUGGAUGAGCAGGAGUUUGGCAUGAUGGGCAUAGGCCAAGCUCAUUUCAGCAGAUGAACAAACCGAAACAGAUUUCACUCUUCAACAGCCAAAUAAGUAAACCUUCUUGCAUGCUGGCAGCUGCUCCCUGCCCCGGGGUGAGGGAACCGCAUAUUUGUGCACAAAUUUAAAACAGUCACAGUUCCAUAAUGUUUUAUUUUUUAAUUAAUUUGUUCACAAGAUCCCACCUAUCUCUGAUAAGUAUCGCUAGUGAUGAUUUUCUACUUUUUUUUUUUCUUUCUCAAUCGAACUAUAUAUCCACUGCUAAAAUGUUUGUAUAAAAAUGUACAUUAUAGUUGUUGUCUCUAAUGGAUUUAGUAUAUCAAGAUUCGUCACGUGCGCAGACAUAAAAAAUGAAUGUCCUUUUAUCUUUUGGGUACUUACAUCUAGUCGUCCUUUACUUUUAUUUUUUAAAAUAUUAACCUUUUUCCUUAUCAUAUACAUGAUUUCUCAGGUACCUCGCUGGAUAUAUUUACGACUUCGAUAGCUACUCUAGAAAACAUACUGUAAGGACUAAGGAGCAUGUUUGUACGAUUAUGGAAUGAUAAUUCUGCUAUGUGUCCAUAACCUAUUGUUGUUUGUCAGAUAAUGUAUGUUGAUAGAAGUUCUGAGAUUAUUGAUCUAUCAAAGGAGGAUUGGGACUUCCUACCAUUAUGACUGGACUUAUGAGGUAAAUAAUUCAUUUUUCUCCUGUUGUUGAUCUCUUAUCUAUUUUUAUUUUUCCUUACCUUUUUAGAGGCAACCAACAAGCAAAACUUGUAUUAUUCUGCAAGCCAGUUUCUGUUUUCUCGGGUCAUAAGUGUAACAUAAUUGAAGUUGACCUUUACUUGUUUUACUUUUUUUUUUGGCUAGAUGAUACUUAAUUUGCCUAGAAUUUUGCUUCUCGUUUAUUUGGUUCAGUACUAAUCAUGAAGAUAUGAUUCAGACGUUUCUUGUUACUUUAUGCUUUUAAAAAGGAUUUUGGCAGGAAAAGAGGAAAAAAAAGAAAUGAAAGGAAAAAUGAAAUCCAACUAAUUCUGAGCUUCAAACCUACUUACUGAAGUUGGAUAAUUUUGGAGGAACCUUUCAAAUAAUUAUUCGCAUACUGGCUUUUUUUUUAAAUAUAUUAUCACCAAGCGUUUUUGGAAAAACUACCAAACAUAUAAAUCUGUAGUGAUAUAGUAACCAAAUCCUCUUUAGUAUUUUUUGUGUCAACAACAGCCAAGUUAUCUAUGCAAAAGAACUUUGCAUUUCGUGUUAGCCCUUGUCAGAAAAGCAUGUGUCAAUAAAUUAACUUCUGGAAAUCUAAGUAUUUGACACUGAAUUCGAUGGUCAAUCUGACAUGUGCUCUUUUCAUUUUGUGAUUUCACUACUUUGUGGGGUUUAUGUAAAAUAAGACACCGUCCAUUAAGUUUUUGCCGUCUUUUUACCUGUUAUAGUAACCAAGAUUAUUUGUCAUAUUUUGCAGUGUUCUAAGUGGUGCUUCAGUGUAAUAGUAGCUCACAUUUCUCCAUUAUUAUCCUAACAGAAGUCAUAGCUCUGAGUCUGAGGUAAUUGUCAUUACACAAAUAAUUUACUUAGCAUGCUUGUGAUUUGAUUCUUUUUUAUUUUAAUUUUCUCUCACAUUGUUUACUUGAUAUUCUUAGCUAUUGUUAUUUUGGAUGUCACAUGUUUCUCAUUUACAUUCUGAGUUUGUUGUUGUACAGUACAGCUGUUAAUAUCCUUGUACAAUUGGAAAACACAGAUAAGUUUAGAAGUUCUAUACAAUCGGAAAACAUGCAAGUUAAUUAGAAAGUUUAUAUAUUAAUAUUUCUAAAUAGGAAGAUUGGGUCAUACUAGGCAACCAAUUAGACGUCUAAAAUGUAGUAAAGUCCAAUAUCAGGUCGACACUUAUGAGAUUUUAGGUUCUUCUAUAGGAUGCUAUUCUUAUGUCAGGGAUACUUUACUUUUUAAAUUAAACCUUUCUAUAUUUGGACCCGGGGCUAUUACAAGUUCAAGUUGAUGUGCCUUCGUGAAUGGAUAGAUAUUCAUGAAUUUAGCAGGUAAAUCAAAAUGGUGAACUAAUAUUCGUAGGUACCAUUUCGUUCGAGAACAAGCUAUUUUUAUUUAUUCUUGGAAUAGGUAUAACUUCUGGGAUAGGCAGGAAUUAGUUUAAUUUUGUGUUUGGACGAGAAUCGAGAUAUUUAGAGGAAUAAGAAAAAUUACGUUUGGAUGAUUGGGUUGGAAUAUUAGGAAUAAGAAUAAUUAUGAUUGACAAUAAAAAUAAUUUACGUAAAUAAUAUGCAUCUAAGUAUUAGUAAAAAAAUAUUUUAAUAAGUUAAUAAAUAAAUUAAUUAAAAUUACUAUAUGAGAUGAUGAAGAUGACAUUAAUUAGUAAAUAACUAUAAAAAAUAAGUCAAUAUUGUUAAUAUUAAUUAAUUAUUUAUAUUUUUAGUUAAUAUAUUAAUUAGAUAAAUUAAAAUAUUAAUUCUUUAAAUAAUAUAAAUAUUAGUUAAUGAUUGAAUGAGGCAUAUCAAAUAGCUAACUAUAACUAGAUAAUUAAUUAUAAAUUAUAAAUAAAUUAUUAUUUAAAUACUUCUUAAUUUAAAAAAGUUAAAGAAUUACUAAAAAAGUUAAUUACAUUAAUUAAUUAUUAUUUAUAACUAUUUAUAACUUAAAUAGUAAAAGAAUAAAGUAGAGAAUAGUUUGUUCCACCUGAUAGGUGGAACUAUUAUUCUCCCCUCCUAAUGGGUUAUUUUACCCGUUAAGAGGAGAAUAGUAGUUCUUAGCUAUUCAUAGUACCGUUUGGAAGAAUAAGGGGAAUGAAUUCCUUAUUCUUCCUUUAUCCUUUGAACCAAACAUUGCCUUAGAUUUUUCAAAAACUUAUUUAUUCGGUGUACCCUUUCAAAGGAUGGUACCUAGAGUUUACUCUUAAUACUUUUUUCAAACCAGUUUGACAAUUCUGUGUGUUAGAGAUCAUCACAUAUUUGUAUAAUGAUAUAAAAUUGUUUCAUAAAUAUCGCAUACAUUGAGGAAGAGUAUGUUUGCUGAUGGUCGUUUUGUAUGAGAAAAGUGAUUUAAGCUAUAGAAUGGAUAGUAAUUCGAUUGAAAUUGGUGGAGUAUUUGAUGAAAUCUCAUAUCUUCUCUUCUAUAGAAAAACCUUGCAUUUGCACAAUGCAUUUUCCUGCAGAGAUAUCCUAUAAAGUAAAUUUGCUUGCUGAGUAGAUCUUAUAGCGCAAAAAUCGUGUUGUAUUUAAACUUUGGAUACCAUAUAUGAAACAAACCUUUCCAUGCCAAACCCCUUUUGACUAAUAAUUGCAUUGAUUUAAGUGAAAGAACAUGAAGAAAAAAGAAUAAUGAAAUGAAAGGGGGGAAAAGGACAUUACAAAUCAAUUGAAUUCAAAGGAGGAAACAAAGUAAAAGGUAAAAUUGACUAGUGUUUGUGAAAAUGAUGGGUAAGAAUGGGCUCUUUGUACGCCAAAUUUUAGCUUUGAAUGCGAAGGUUGUUGUUGAUGUUCCUCGCCCCCAUGAUAAGGUACAUGGAGAUUAAUUUGUUGAUUAAUAAGUGCUUUUAGUCUGACUAUUAUAUGAAUGUAUAAACUGUUUGAUGUCGCAUAUGACAUCAAAAAGACCUUGCAUAUGUAAAACUAAAACCUACUUCUGGGUUAUCAAACAAAUCCUUAGGUAGAUAGUGAUAGAGAUGAUGCUCUGAAACUAAUAAUCUUCUGUUUGUAAGCUAUUUAGAGUCAUGUAAACCACUCUCAAAGGUUGCGAGAGUUUAGCAGUUACAAAUGACUGGGGAGAACCAGAUUCAAUUAACCUGUGUGAAAAAUGUAAUGUCGUAGCCGUGACAAUGAAGAGACUAAGCUUGAGGUUGCAAGAAAAAAAAAAAAAAUUUCUUACCAACUGUAUUAUUAGCUGGGAAUACUGCUAUAAGCCAUUAUAAAUAAAAAUUCCUUUGCUAUUAUUUUUUUUUUCGUUUGGUACUUAUUCAACUUUUACAUCUUUUGAUUUUAGUUUUUUGUUAUUAUUUUAAAUUUAAUGGUAAUUCUAUUAGAUUUGGUAACUUGAUUUGCUUGUUAGUCGACGAAACUGUUUCAAUUUGCUGAUCAAGAGCUAAAGAAGUUAUCAAGUUUAAAGAAAACCCUAAUUCCAGCUAAUGGGAAUAAUUAAAUAGUUCAAAACCAAAGGGAGUCAAACUUAGCAAAAAUUGGGCAACCUGUUUCAAAAAUUCUCAGCAGUAGUUGAAAGGGAUACUCACGCACAUUUUGGCUAGAGAAAGUUCCUAGGGUUUUGCGAAUGAGUAUUCUAUGGUUUGCCCCGAAUGCUCUUCUUAAUGAGUUGUUGAUGUACCCCGUCUUUUAAUAUUUUUUUUGUAAGGUGCAUUUUUAAUAGAAUUUCUAUUCCAAUAUUCAGGAACGGUGAAUCGUGUUGAAAUGCGUAAAACAAUUGUUGUUCUCUAAAAAUUUAAUGUUGUCGUAAAAUGACAUUUCUAAAACACUCCUACUCACGUCGGGACUCGAGAUGUUUUGACAGGCGAUAGGAGAAAAUUAAACAAAGAUUAAAGAUUUGGCGGGAUUUGGACUGGGGACUGCUGUUUUGGGUACAUUGUGAAAGAGGGACAACUGUGAUGUGGUCUCUCGUAUGAAAAGCCCAACAUUGUACUCAUAAGCAUUGGGAACGAGAGAUCAACGACAUAAUUGUUUCCUUCACUAUUUUUUUCUUGUUUUUGUUUUUUUGUUUUUUUUUUUUUAGUCCAACUCAUUCAGUGAUGUUCUUCACACUAGGAGAGCUAAGAAGUUUCUACUCAACCAAAGCCGACCACUCCCUGCUGAAAAGAUAAGAAAAAAACAACACCGAAAGAAGAGGGCGUAGAGAGAGAGAGAGAGAGAGAUGGGCAUUUGGCGUUAUGUGGCGUGGCCCAUGGAGGAAAGGAAGGUGCAGGAGGGGCCAUUGUAAUUGUUGCUGUUGUUGUUGUUGUUGUUGUUGUUGUUGUUGUUGUGGUGGUGGUGGUGGUGGUGGUGGUGGAGGGCCCCGCGCACGCGUGGGAGUUUCGCACGGGUGCGUGGGAAGAGUAGGAACCCUUUCAAAUUUGAGACCAGCAGUCCCUACCCCACAUCCCUAAGCUCAAAUGAAAAAUCUUUCUAUCACAGUUAUUUAUACAUUGUGCCAUGCAAGAUCAAGAAGAGUUCAUUUAGAAGCAAUGUAGUAGUAGUUUUUUUUUUCCUUAAUACUUUUAUAUAAUAUGAAGAUAAAUAUUUGAUCCGACGUUAAAAUUUAACAUCGUUAGGAAUAUGUAACACUGAGAAUUCAUUGGGUCUAAACCGCUGGUUCAAAAUAUUUAAGCUCAACUUUUAAUUCUAGUGUGUUUGUUACGUAUAAGUCUCUCGCACUCUCCCAGAUUAUUCGAGGUGGAAUUAUUUGGGUGCCACCACUAUAACAAACCUUGCAUUUAAAAACACUGUAAAUAUUAAUUAGUGACUCUUUAAAGGAUUGGUAAGAAUAACUCUACGCUUGUAAAAGUGUUGAGUAAAGAGUCGUUGAGUAAAUAUAUCAAGAUAAAUAUAAAGACUAGCGGCAAAAAAUUUUUAUUAGUAUUUGAUAAAAAUAUAUUUAUUUGCGACACUUAAUCAUAAUGUUAGCACAUGCAAAAUAUUGAAGACGCUAAAAUAAAUCGUCGUCUAAAAAGCAUGAUUUAAAACAUAUUUUGUUGUAGUGUACAUUUAAAUAAAGGUUUAUGUAUGGAAGAUAUAUAUUAUAGAUUUGAGGACGAUUGGACCAGCUUUGGUGCCAUAUUGCAUGCAUGCAUAUCAAAUGAAUUUGAUACGACAUGGCUUUGGGAUAGUGUUAGAGUUUGAUUGGUAUCCAGCCCUAUAUAUCUAAUCUACCGAACCAAAAAAAGUUGGAGCAAAAAUUACACAGAUAUAAAAACAUUAAUAAGGGGAGUACUUUGGGCAACAUGUUGUCAAUUUAGGAUUUGUUAGGACGUGAACCAAACCAUACUAUACUGAUUUUUUUUUUUAAGAAAAAAAAGAAAUACGUCACCUUAGAAAAGAAAUAUACUUUUCUAAAAAUUAUGACGGUUUGAACCUUGAGUCUGAUGAUAGAAAAAAGUUUCGCAGUACACACUUGGAUAAAUUAUUGAGACAUCUAAAACCUAUCCCAUGAAUACAUUUGAUUUUUUGCACUUUUAUUUUCUUUGAUAGAUUAACACUAGCAUCUACAGCGUAUGGUAUCAUAUAAAAGAGCAAUACUAGUGAUACAUUCCAAAAGGAAUGUAUAUUUUACAUCUUAUCUAUUCAUGGAUGAAAAUUAUUUUACUAGUCAUAUUGAUGCGACUGAUGAAGAACAUCUAUCUUUAAAUAGGUGGGGUGUAUUUUGUACACUCUGAAGUAUUUUUCCAUACGAAAAAGGAUGAUGUGAAGAGCAGGUGCGUAGUUGUAUAUCAUGCAUCACUCCACCUUAUGCAUGAGUUGCUCGCACGUACCAAGCUUCACUAGUAUAUAACAAUAUUAUUAUUAUUAUUAUUAUUAACAUGAUUAUAUGAACAUAUGUACAACCAGUGAGUGCGUGAGAGAGAGGGAGAGAGAGAGAGAGAGAGAGGUAACGUAACGCCAAUUUCUGUCACUCUACACAUGUAGAUACGCAAGUGAGAGAGAGAGAGAGAGAGAGAGUAAGAGAGAGAGUAAGAGAGAGAGAACGUAAACACGGAGUCGGGGCGAACUAAAGGCGGAGUGAAUGCGUCCACAAAGGGAAAGGAAAAAAAGAUGCGUGAGCGAGAGAGAGAGAGAGACAUAAAAGAGAGAGAGAGAAGGAGAUGCAUGCAUGCAUGGAUAUUCGUGCCCCUGCAUGGGGCGGGGCCCACGUCCCUCGGGUCCCAUGCCCCUCUCCCUUUGCCGGCCUCUUGUCCCCUCCCUAUCCCAUACAUGCCAAAACCACCCCCCUCGCACGUGCAUAAUCCNUGCCCCUGCAUGGGGCGGGGCCCACGUCCCUCGGGUCCCAUGCCCCUCUCCCUUUGCCGGCCUCUUGUCCCCUCCCUAUCCCAUACAUGCCAAAACCCUAGCCAUGGAGCCUAUAUAGUAUAUACACCACCUAUCUCGCUAUAUAUACGCGCGUCCACCUCCUACUAGCUCCCACCCUAUCCACAACUCUCUCUUCUUUCUCCUUGUUGUCACCACUAUUCAUCACUAGGAUUAAUUCUUACACAUUAACCUCACGUUAAACACUCCGCCUCUAUAUAUAUAUAUAGCCAUGCAAUUACACAAUAACAUUGGAGGAGGAGAAGAAGAAGAAGAAGAAGAGCAAUCCAUACUAUGCCUCUCUCUUUGGCCCCCCGGUCAACAAAACCCGCCUAGUUCUUUUUCGUCUUCUCGUGCUAAUUCGCGUACUUCUGCUUUUGCUUUUGGUUCUGGUUCUGCUUCUACUUCUGCUUUCAGCUCUUUACGGCUAUCGUGCAACCGACUGGAUGAAGAGUCGAACGUGACGAUCGCGCUCUCCAUAGCCCCCCCUAAUGCUACUAGCGUUAGCGCAAGCCUGUCCACCGCAGCCACAAACCCUACUCCGAGCCAAUAUUGGAUACCAUCCGCCGCCGAGAUCCUCGUCGGCGCGACUCAGUUCUCUUGCGUCGUCUGUCACAAGACAUUCAACCGCUUCAACAAUUUGCAGGUUAUGUUUAUAUGUUACUCAUAACUGUUGUUUUAAAAGUUAUAGAUGUUAAUUACUUCCUCCAGUGGUGUUUACAUAUAUUUUUAUGUUUUCAAGAAAACCAUCUACUUAGAAUGAGGGCUCGGUAGAUCCUUACCUGACUCUUUUUUUUUUUUUUUUUUUUUUUUUUUUUUGCACAGUUGAAGUAACUACAGCGAAACAAGAUAUUUCAAAAUCUCUUUCCUUUUUUUUUUUCUUUUUUUUGGGGGGGGUAGAAUUCUAGGCUCCCAGUAAAUUGACCUUCACAGUUCACAGGUCAUUUCAUAUCAUAUAAUGAGAUUGCUCUCACUAUUAUUCUCUUGUAAAACUCUAAAAGUUACUAGUUAGCUAGAGAACGAUGGAUGAACGUUUUAAUUUUUAUAUAUAGUAGUAGUACUCAAGUAUCACCUACAAUAGAAACACUUUGAAUUGCUAGAAAACACCUGACUUCUAUAUAUAUAUAUACUUAAAUAUGCAAAAUGCUGACCCGAUGUGAACAAAUUAUAUCAACUUUAAAAGAAAAAAAAAUUACCAAGACAAUCACAAUCGUUCAAAGCAAAACAAGUGAGUAACCACAUUACACAGGUUGUGUUCUUGGAUAUAUAUAUAUAUUCUAACUAUAAUAUUUCUGGAAGGACUACUCAUGAUGUUGUGCUUUUAAUUUUUUAAUCCAUAAAUCAACCCUUUAACCAUUUCUAGCUCUUGUAUUAAUAUUAUUUGUUUAGGGGAGCAGUAUCAUUCUAACUCUACAAUUCUUGAUCCAAGGGUCAACAAGUGAGAAACAUCAAUUUUUUUAUACUUUUAGAAAUAUAGUAGUUCUAUACUAUAUAUAUAUAUAGAUAGAGAGAGAGAGAGAGUUCAGCUACUGUACUAUCGAUAGUAUCAAGGGCUUGAUGCUAUCGAGUUUUUCACCAUUAGAUCUAUCUUCUUAAUCAUUUCAGCCUGUUAGAUCAUACUAUUCAGCCAAUCACCUACUCAAUUUUACGGGAUCACUAUCAUUCUAACUGUACAUCUCUUAAUGCAUCCAAAGGUUAAAACCUAAUAGCAUUAAUGACUUGUGCUAUUAAUAGUAUAGUAACCUAAUUAUAUAUAUAUAUAUAUAUAUAUAUAUAUAUAUAGUUUCUGAUAUGUAUAGUAGCUAGCUAGCUUGCAUUUUUGAUUGAUUUAAUCAAUUGUUGCAGAUGCACAUGUGGGGCCACGGCUCGCAGUACCGGAAGGGCUCGGAGUCCCUGCGAGGGGUGACGAAGCCGCCAUCGUCACCGUCGGCAGCCGCUGCGGCGAUACCGGCAUCGAUGAUGCGUCUUCCGUGCUACUGCUGCGCAGAGGGGUGCCGCAACAACAUCGAGCACCCGCGGUCGCGGCCGCUGAAGGACUUCCGCACACUGCAGACGCACUACCGGCGCAAGCACGGGGCGCGGCCGUUCGCGUGCCGCCGGUGCGGGAAGCGCUUCGCGGUGCGCGGCGACUGGCGCACCCACGAGAAGAACUGCGGCCGCCUCUGGUUCUGCAUCUGCGGGUCCGACUUCAAGCACAAGCGCUCGCUCAAGGACCACGUCCGGUCCUUCGGCGGCGGACACGCGCCGCACAUCGCCGAGUCGUUGAAUGUGGCGGACAACGGCGAGGAGGGAGAGGAGGAUGAGGAGGAUAUUGAAGAUCCAGAAGAAGCUGAUCAUCACGAUCAUAUUGGCGAUGAUGAUCACGCGCAUGCAUGAACUAAUUAAGAGGAGGGAUCGAUUAAUUUUCACAACAUAUGCCUGGUUUGUGACCUAGUUAAAUUAUAUAUUAAUUAGGGCUUCCUAGUGUUAGUUAUAUAUAUAUAACCCUAACUAGAGCUAGCUAGCUUGUCCGAAGAAAGAGAAUUGAGCAACAAGCUCCUGGAACAUAUAUUGUUGAACCCUAGAGAGAGAGAGAACUAGAGAUCUAGGGAGAGAUCUAGAGAUAUCUAGAGGGAGGGUUCAGUUGCUUGAUGUUGUGUCUCUCUUUCAUGCAGUUUCUCUAUCACUUUUCUAACGUUCACUGUGACUGGUGUCGUUGUGUAUCGUGCAUGAGAGAGAGAGAGAGAGAGAGAGAGAGUAUAAGCCUAGCUAUAAGGGAUCUUGUUAUUCAUAAUGCAUGGUUUUCUUUUACUACUAAUUAAUGAAUUAUAUAUAUAUAUAUGUGUGUGUGUAUGUAUGUAUGUAUGUAUGUAUGUAUGUAUAUAAGUACUGAUGGAUGAGUGCGUGGUUUAUUGGGGUUAAUUUGUCGUAUUAAUAAUGUAACUGAUGAGGUGCAGGAGUCAUGAGUUGCAGAGGCUUAUUAGCAGCAUGCAUGAAACAAAGAAGCUAAAAGUGGUAGUAGUUAGAUUCCCAACAGAUAUAGAUCAUGAUAUAUAUAUAUAUAUAUAUGUGAACUGUAUAUCAUAUUAAGUUGGAAGCAGCUUUUGGCUGUGGCAACUUUAUCUCUUUGGACACAACAACAGCACAGAGAAAGAAAGAGAGAGAGAGCUGAAAAUGUCAUCAUCUUCCCCCGGCCUCUUUCUUUUAGGGACUCUCAGCACAGACAAAGGAAAUUCUUCUUCUUAUAUUUUUUUAAUAUGUGUAUAUAUAUGCAUUACGUGUGGUCAUUACUUAGAGAGAGAGAGAGAGAGAGAGAGAGAGAUUCUGAUAUAUAUUUAUAAUAUAUAUAAAAAUAUAUUGCUAGCUUUGAGAGGGCAGAGACUGAGACGAGUCUGUCCUCAUGUCUGUUAGCUGCAGCCACUGAGUUAUUUAUUAGCAUCCGUACUCUCUCUCUCUCUCUCUCUCUUCACACACACACUUUUCUCCGUGUCACUCACUCUUUCUCUCUAGCUCUCUCUCUCUCUCUCUCUCUCUCUCUCUCACUCACUCACUUUGAUGAGAAAUUAAUUGCGUGGGAUGUGGUCUAUGCACCUGGAAAAGAUCGAAGUGUGGAGCAGGAGAAAGUCUACUGUACAACAGUUGCAUCACACCAUCUAUAUAUUGGCUUAAAUGAGUCAGUGUCCUGUUCUGUGGCGGAAGGUCAUAUGAAUCGAGUCAUAUUCGAAAUGGCGUGAGGUUUGAUAGGGCCGAGUCAUGUUCGAAGUGGCGUGAGGCUGAUUAGGCCGAGUCACAAUCGAGACCCGUGGGCGCUGUAUCUGUUCGCUUUAAAUGAAUUGAUUGUAUAUUUCUAAUAGCUCGAACUUUUGGGAUUAAUGAUUAGCGUCAAUAAUCAGACACUAUAUUUAAUCAAUUACAUUUUUUUUAAAUAAAAAAUAUAAUAAAAAUAUUUUUUUAAAAAAUCAUGAUAGAAUGAGCAAACUUCAGAAAAAUUAUUUGAUUAAUUGGGGGCCCCACAUCAGCAAUAUAACUAUUGCAAUUUACAUUUUUUAGUAGAGUUGGGCCAUAAAAUCUAGUCAUUUGCUUAGCUCUGUUGUGGAGCAUAAAAUGCUAUUAGAAAAAGUUCAAAACACCUUGCCUAAUUUUUUUUAAAAUUUUUCUAAUACAACUUCUAUUUCUAGUAAAAUUAUGUGUUAGGUUUCAAAAUGAUGUGUUCUUUUUCCAGUCUGAAAGCUUUAGACCAAUUUAAAUUGUUAACCCUCUAUAUAUCAUUUAUGACUAUUUGAAGAUAGCAAUAAGAGGAGGAUCAAAUAGGCCCUAAAUAACACAUGCUACAUACAGGUAAUUAAUUAAACUACAAAUCAUUUACAAAUGCUAAUAGGUUAUGGUAUAUAUGUAGGGUAUAGUAGUAUCAAAGUAGUGAUAUUACAUUAAAUACUCCUAACAUAUUCUUUUAUUGUGGAAUCUGAAGCACUUCUAAUAUUCAGCCUCACAUUUUAUUUUUGCUUCCACUCUAUAAAAAAUUUAAAAAAUAGAAGAAAUAUUAAGUCUACAACCAAAUAAAAAUUAAAGAAAUUACAACCUCUUAUCAAGGGGUACCCACUACAACAAAAACGGUCUAUAGCGACACUUUUAAAUGUAGGUACAUGUCAAAAAAGUGCUGCUAGCUAAAAUUACCGACACUUUUAAAAAGUGUUGCUAUAUGUGGGGUCGCUAGGUAUAUAGUGACAGUUAAAGAGUGUCGCUAUAACCUAACAGAGUGUUGCUAAUUUUUAAAUACUUAUUUAAGCAUUUAGCAACUGCUGAAACUCUAUCUCGUUGGCUACGGUGGCGGAGGAGGACGACAGUAAAGGCUCUUCGUCUAGAAUUUCAGUGGAUUGAGUGAAGAGAGAAGAAAAGAUGAUAAUUGAUUUUUCUUUUUUUUUUUCUUUUCUGUUUGUAAUCGGGCCAAAUGGACUGGGUGUGGUGGGUUGAGUAAAGUAAUCUUUUAUUUUUGGUUGGAUUGGGCUUUAUAUUUAGGCAUUAGUAGAUGUGUUUUUAAGUUUUAGCAUAAAUGGGACACUUACUCAAAAGUGUCCCAAACAUGUGUCCCUAUAACCUAAUUCUGUUGUAGGUAUUGAUGGUUUACUGACGCUGGCCUCUUUUUAGUUUUUUUUUUUUUUUUGGGAGAUAGACAGCAUGUUACUCUUUUCGUUUAUUUCAUUUAGAAAUAAACUUAACUAGAAAUGUGAAUCAAUUAGGAUUCGAACUAGCGCCUUUUUCUAAUUUUUUUGUAACAAAAAGAAAAUUAUAAAAAGAUUAGAGCAGCAAAGAAAAUAAGCCGAUGGAUUCAAGUUAUUGUAGAAGUACAACUCCAAGUGAGUUAUAGACCUAGCACUCCUCUAAAAUUAUUUGUUCAAUUAAACACCCAACUAAAACAUAUAUAUACGACUGCUGAAAUAAACAAUUUGCGCCAAAUAUAUAUACUCUAAAUAUUAAGAACAAUAUAUAUAUUUCUUAUAACCUUUUCUCUUAUAACAAACAGUAUAGUUUUAUUAUCCUUUAAAUACUUAAAAAAAAUUAUAAUUCGACCUCGUAUGUAAACUGAGUAUAGCCGCAUAACGAUCUCUAUAUACAAAAGAAAAAAGUUGGAGAAUGUAGAGAGCUCGGUGAAUGUUUUUUUCAUUAAUAAGCUUAAAAAAUAUUAUAAUAAUAAAAGUAGUCAUUCGAAAAUUUUAUUUACAAAACUAGUCUUAUGCGCUGAAUAAUUUAUCAUUUUUUUGUAAUUAAAAAAUAGAUUAAUUUCAUACAUGUCCCUAUAAAUAUAGUGAAUAGUAAAUAUAUCUCUACAAAAUUCAAUUUUCAUAUAUUGUAAAAUUCUGAUAUUUUCAAAUAUGUUUUUGUCAUUAGCAUCAGUUAGAAAAAAUUAGUUAACCAUAGGUUAAAUGCUUAACUCUAAUUAGUUUUUGACUUUUUCAGACCUUUAUAUUACACUAGAAUGGUUUUUGGAGGGAUAUAUUUGUGAUGGCAAAAUUGAAAAUAUAAACGGUUCUCUAACGGUAACAAACCAGAGAGACAUAUUUAAAAAUAUUAGGACUUUUGUAGGAACAACAUAUAAAAGUUGAAUUUUAUAAAAAUACAUUUGUCAUUCACUAUGUUUGCAGAAAUAUGUAUAAAACUAACUCUUAAAAAAUUCUAUAGAGUUAGUCGUGCAAAAAUCUCGACCACGGUCCAUGCAAUAAUUUCUCUUCUCACUCUCAAGCUAAGUGAUAAACUCAACUCAACUCAACUCAACUGUGUUUGGAGCUUUUGCUCUUGCGCGACUACAGUGUUGGCACCAGGUUACUUUAAGCAGAAGGUGUCAGAGUGGGGACCACCAGAUGAGGGGCUAAGAGAGAAGGCCAAAUUGCAUGGAGGCCCCCUCUACUAUGGCCAUAUUCGGAAUUGGCCCUUUAGCUGUACUUAUUUCCCACUAAUACUUUUCUAAUCUUUUUAGAUUUUCUCAAUUAGAUAAAAAUGUAACUUCUUUUAUCGGCUAAAGUAAAAAAAUUUUAUUAAAUAUUGUUUAUUCCAUCAUCAAUCAAGUUUGCAUAAUAACUUUAAAGAUUAAGUUAAAAAAUAAUAAAAUAAAAUUAACUCAAGAAAGCAUCAAUUAAUUAGAAAAGAUUAAGUUGAAGGGUCUAUUUUGAAAGUAGCAUGUAGUUGAGAGGGUCCCCAUACAUCUUUUUUGGGGUUGGGCCAAUUUAAAUGUGACUGCACCAUCUUUCUUUUUUGGGCCAAAAACAAUCACACGCUACAAAGAACUUGCCACCUAUAGAGAGAGAGAGAGAGAGAGAGAGAGAGAGAGAGAGUGAGUGUGCCCACCCACCCUUCCCCACAAAUUACAGUAUGUAGUUGUCAGUGUACUGCAGUGCAGCAAAUACCAAAACAUAUAAUUAUUUAACUUUUCACAUAUUAGUCCACAUAAUAUAAAGGUUUUUUUUUGUUACAUAUUCUUCUCCGCAGAGAGUUAGAUUCUUAUACUUUCGAAAGUACGAAGGUCUCCGUACUUAUAAGUUGUUUUCGAUGAUAGGAUAUUCGAUUUGGCGAUCGAUUCUAUUAGACAUGAUCUAUACUAUUGUACUAUUAAGAAACCAAAUUUCAUAAUUUUUUUACUUCGUUUGCUUAGCGAACGAGUAACCUCAAAAUAAACGGCUGAAAAUAAAAAAUUAAUAAAAAAUAGUGAUAAAGAAUUCAAAUUUUAAAUCGGAAGUAUUGUUCGUACUCUUGAUGUUAAGUAGAAUUUUCUAUUAAAUUUUCAUGUAAUUUGGAUACUUCUACACCGUUGAACUUAAAAACGUGUAACAUCGGCCGUCAAAAUAAUUAUUUUUAGACACUUGGUAAAUGAUGACGAAAAAUUAUGAAAUUUAGUUUCUAGAUAGUUUCAACAACGUAGGUUAUACUUAUCAGAGCCAAUCGACGAAUCGAAUGUUCGAUCAUCAAAAACAACUUAUAAGUACGUAGACCUCCGUACUUUCGAUAAUACGGAAGACGUACUCCUCCACAAAUUAUAGUAUGUAAUUGUUGGCGUACUACAGUGCAACAAAUACACAAAAAUACAAUUCUUUGACCCGUAUAUUACCACACAUAAUAUAAAAGCUAUUUAUUGGUUUUUAUAUGCUUACACGUUUGGAUAUUUUUCGAAAAGCUAAUUAUAGAUUCUUCUCUCCAUCGGAAUUAUAUUAUGUAGUUAUCAGCGUGCUGUAGUGCAAUAAAUAGCAAAACAAAAUAAAUAACUUUUUUGUUUAUCAGCCUACAUAAAAUAUAUAUUCUUUUUAGUUCAUAUAUCAUUCGACUCCACAAAUUACAUUAUGUAGUUAUCAGCGUAAUACAUUGCAAUUAAUACCCAGAUAUAUAAUUCUUUGACUUUUUCUUAUGUCACCACAGAUAAUAUAAAAGCUUUUUUUUAUUAGAUCAUAUAUCUUUCUUCACAAAUUACAAUUUGUACGCAGUUAUCAACGUACUGUAAUGCAAUAAGUACCCAAAAAAAUAAUUUUUUGACUUUUUCAUAUAUUAGCCCACAUAAUAUAAAAGUUUUUUUCAUUGGUUUCACAUAUUCUUCUCCACAAAUUAUAGUAAUAUAAUAUAAUUAUUAGCGUCUGCAGUGCAAUAAAUACCCAAGAAAUUAGGAUAUUAAAACUUUGUUGCAGUUGUUGUAUUGUUGUUUGUUGUUGUUUCUUUUGAUUUCUUAUUGAUCAUAGAAACAUGUUUUGGCCUUUUAGUUGAGCACAUUAAAUAGAAAUAGUAACAACAUUGAUAAUGUCAAUAUUACUGGUUAGUAUCCAUAUAAUAGACUUAAUAAUUAUAGCUUUAUCAAUCUAUCAAUAUCGCUUGCGCGCCCAAAUACAAAAUGGGUCAUUAGUUAUUCACCAAAGUUAAUCACCUUUGAAGAUGUAAAAAAAAAAAAGGUUAUGAAUUAAAAUAGCAUGCACCUUGAAUUAUAUAUGAGAACUACAAGCAAGCACGGAAUACGUGCUUUAUUACAAGUUCAUUAAAUUGACAAGUGCUCUAAUCAUCUAAAAAGCAACAUCACUUGCUCGAUCGACCACGUAAAACACUUAAGCAUCAUAUUAAACAUAUACAACAUCAUUAGACCGGCAAAAAGGAUCGAGGACACAAAGAGAAAAGGUGACAAAACUAGAUAGAGGGAUUUUCUUAACAUCUUAUAUUAAUGUAGUCGAAUCGGCCUAUUUCACAGCUUUCAUAUUGUAGCAAAAAUGCCGAUGAAACUCUCCACCUAUGCAGCAUUUGAGCUUCAAAAAACUUGGCUCCCUUGGAACUGUUAGGGGCUUCUUUGACCUGUCAUGAUAUGCAGAUUCAAAAGGUAAGUUCUUGAAUAGAUUCAAAUUGAAAACUCUUUUGAAUGGAGAUCAAAUUCGAAGAGCAAAUUCAUGGUUUUCAAUCUUAGCUUGUUUAUGUGCUAGUGAUAAGUUGAAUUGUUUCAUGAUCAUAUAUGUAUUACCUUUGUGGAAAGAAUGGCCUAUCAAAUAUGGGCAUUAAUUGGGCCUUUGGAACCAUCUCCUUCCUCAUAAUCUUAAUCUCUUCUUCCUCUAUAACCUACAUAGUAUGAUCAAUACAACAAUAUUACUAAAGGUGGUGAUAUCAAUAGCUUCAACAUUACUAAUAACAGAUACAUAUAAUGAAUCUAGUCACUAUGCAUUGACUAAAAAUGACCAGAUUCAUUAAAUGUGAUAUAUACAUAUAUAGUAGAUGAAACAGCUUUUCACAAGCGUAACGCACCUUAAGAAUCCUCUCUUCGAACCUUCGAAGGAUCUCCAAGGAAUUUGUCUUGCUUGCAACCUACAUAUGCCUCAUGCUUUAGUAGUGAAAUAUAUCAUAAAUGCAUGCAUCUAGAAGAGAAUUAGAUUUUGGGAAGUUUUGAAUAUCAACAAAGGACAAGUAAAACCUUACCAAAUCAUUAAAACCGGCGCGUCUGGCUGCUCUUUGCUCGGUGUGAAGCCUAAAGUUGAGAGGCUUAGUUUGCUCCUUCAACAGCGGUUUUGAUAGAAACUACAAAUGAAAUGUCAUCAAACAAUAAGAUAAUUAGAAAGGCAAGUUCAUAUGCAUGCGCAAAGUUAUAAUGACUCGGAGUAAUAGGAGAUCACUUGAGAUUUUUCGAUCAUCAUUGGCAAAACUUGUGCUAGAGGAACCCGAUGCUUUGUGUCCUCACCAAGCAAUUCACACACCCUUCUCGCAAACACUUGCUCUGUCUUGUGCCCUCGUUUCUAAGGUAACAAAAGAUAAUAGCACAUAACAGCUCGGCCUAUUAGUAGUAGUAACUUAUAAUAGAUAGAGACUGAUCAGUAACGAAAUGUUUGGCGAACUAAAAAUUCUAAAGAUUUUGCUCCUGCUCAAAAGUUGGAAAAAGUAUAUAUGGGUCUACGUAGAAGCUUCAAUCUAGAACUUUUUGUGAUUGCUACAGCUCAAAUGUGUGUGACAUCGAACAAUUCUUAGCAUAAGUAGCAAUCAGGCCAGCUAGGUAGGCUUUUAGUACGUAAUAGCAAGACUUUGUUUUAAUUAUGUAUAGUCACUCACUUUUCGAUCAUCUUCUGAUGUAGAACUAUUUGAGUGUGACGUUAAAAAAUUCAGUGCUUAAAUUUAAUUCCACAACGCAAAGUAAAGUGCAAUUGAUCCAUGUAUAUAUGAGAAUGUCUCAAGUCAUAAUCACCACAGUGAUAAAACUAAUAAAUGAAGAACAGCACACUGACAUGUCUCUUUCAGUUAGUAAUUUAGAAAAAUGUGAUUGGCCUAAUAGUAUACUCAAUCUAGAGCAUGACUUAACAAAAAUUACUCUUCACUAAUGGUGAACUUUUUGUGACAAGUAUAUUAGUUACCUCAUUGUGCAUUUUUACUGGCGGAGAUUGGCCAUUCUUCGACGAACGAUUCGCCACGGAGUUGGGGUUUACUUUCGAGAUCUUGGAUUUGUCAAAGUGGAGUAAUAUAUUAGAUUAAAAUUUUGAUUAGAACACAUUCAUGCAUGCACACACUAACUAUAACAAAAAGGGAGGAAAAAAAAAGAAAGAAAACUAGUACUGUAUAUUAAUGUGCAAUGAUAUGCAGCAGCAGCUGCAAACCAUGCAAGAAGCAUGCACUCCUAACCUUUGAAGAAGAGAACUUAUUUGUAGCUUCCAUAUUUUGUUGCUUAUGGAUAAAGCCCUAGCUACUAUAGUUGGAGCAUUUAUGGACACCCAAAUGGAGCACUGUUAAGAGAAGGAGCUUUCACUUUUUGCUGCCACUUCACCAGCCAUUUUUGGGGUUGCUUCAAAGUGCCUGGACCUGGGUCCACCAGGUCGGCCAUGAAUCGCUAAGUAAUUUUAGUAUCCAUCUCAUCUCUCAUUUCAAUUCUCGUAUUCGAAAAAAAAUUGAAAAAUUUUAAAUUCCACCUAGUGGUGUCAAAAGAAAAAGGAAAAAUGGUUGCACGAUUAACUAAUAUGUUUUCUUGCCCUUCACUCUUUGCAAUCCUUAAUGUUUAAAAUAAUAAUAAUUUUAUGUCUCGUUCGGUGUUAUGUUUUAUUUUUAUAUGUAUUUUUUCAAAUAAAAUUCUUACAUAAAAAGAUAUAGAGGUGGACAGUAGAUUAACAAAUAUAUGUUCUUAUAUAUAUAAAUGGACUCAAAGUGUAUGUUACAAAUCGAAAAAACAGCAAAACCAGUUUUGAAGUUGGAUAAUCCGAAGAAAAAUAGUAAAUCUGAAUCCAAAAUAAUUUAUAACUCCAAAUCUGAAUCCAAAUCCCAAUUGGAUAGUAAAAUCUUCACCCAUAUCCAAUAAUUUUCGAAUUCGGAGUUAGGUUGGAACCGAUAAUAUCCGAUCCAUCUUCACUCCAACAAUUAAAGAGAAAAAUAUUUUCUUCCGCAUAUCAAAUUAUAUAGAAUUAGUAUUUAGAAAAUUUUGUGGUUAAAAUUUAGCCACUAGUCUUAUCGACAUUAUUAUUAUUAUUAUUAUUUUCAUUUCUAAAAAAGAAAUACUACUAGUACAAUCUAAAAUAAGAUCGAUAUACAUCAUACAUCCUCUUCAUCUAAGACCAUCAUUUUUUUUUUACUUAUCCAAUCAAAUUUUUUUUAAUUAAAAGCUAUAUGAAUUUUUCUGAACUCUUGGAUAGAGGGUGUAUAAUCUACACCUCUUUUGGGGUGUACAAAUAGGAUUUUCCUGGGAUAUCGAAGGUGUUGAGGAUCGACGCUGCAUGGUCCAUGGGCAACAUUGUAGGCCAGGUCUAGGCAACAGUUUCUCCCCUUCAUGGCACUCCAUUCAUAUACAGAGUUUUUUUUUUUUUUUUAAUUUAUUUUGGUCCACUAAUUAGUGUACCAACCUUUCUGAUGCAAUUAACCCAUCAAGCAGACAUUCCCAACAAACCACAAAACAACAUUGCAGCAACCACGCACGCAUAUAAGGAGUCGCUGACCAAAUUUGGUAUCUAUCAUUUGGUAGUUAGCUUUUAUUAGGGCUCUAAUUAAUCCCUCCCCCAGGCCCUAUGUAUGUAUCUUGCUUCAAAUUAAGCAAUCUCUUGACCUUGACAAUUCCAACUACCUUAACAUUGCCAACACAACAAAAUCAAUUGAUCUGGUGAUGAUCAUCGAUUCUAAAUUUUGCUUAAUUUAUUAAUAUAAUGCCCAAAUAGUCCCACAUCGGAUGAAAAAAUAAUUCUGAUUAGAAUAUAUGAGGCCUACACGUUAGUAAUAAUAACUGGACUUAAGUAUUUUAGGUCGGUAGUUUCGCUUAACGAGUUAUUGUUACAACUAAGCUUAAAUGAGUGAAAAUUUUGCCCAUGAGUAUGAUCUUAUUGUGGAGGCUCCUCUACUUGUUUGAUUUUUGAUAGAGAUCCUAUUCAUGGGCAAAUUAUUAGGUGUUUCUAAAAAUAUUGUUUAAUUAAGUAUAGCUAUUUUAAAAAAAAUAACAAUACCAUUUUGAGCAAAUAUUUGAAGCAAAAGAAAUUAAAAGCUCAAAUUGAAGUUUAUGUUUGCGAAGCCUAGCCAAAAGCCCAUUGUAGUUUAAUAACAUGACAAAAGCUCUAUUUAUUUUGUUUGUGAAGCUUUCGACUACUGGUUUUUUAUGUAGAGCAAGUUAUUACAGACAUAGAUAAAUAAACACCAAGGCAAAAGCAAACUUAUAUCUCAAAUUUUAGUUUGUAUAGUAAAAUCUCAUUUUAAGUUUAAUAAGAUAACAAAAACUUCGAAUAUUUCUUUUCUCAACUUUUCAAAUGUUGUUUCUAAAUAUAGAAAAGUUAUCUCAGAAACAAACGAAAAUAAGACACUUCUUUCUCUCAAACAUUUAGUGGCAUUUUUGGGCAUGUACUCGAUCAAGCUACUCAACAAACUGAUUGAGACAUAAAAGCCUCCAAGAGAAAAUUAGUUAUAUGCUACAAACUUUGAAUCAUUGAGUACUCCUUAGUAACUAAUUUGUUCAAAAAGAGACAGAAAAAGAAGGGGGGAAAAAAAAAAAUAAAAGCAGCCUUAUCAUUUGUGAGAACCUUUUAGGAUACUUGAUUUGCAAAAAGGAACAAUGAUGAGUGGUCAAGUUAUUGCUUCAGCCACACGGAAAUAUGCUUGUUUGUAGGCUGAAAAGACUAAUGCGAUGUUUCCAUGUUAGAAUAAGUUUUCUAAAGAUAACUUAUUCAGUACGAAACUUUUACUUAUUAAUGUUACCGUUUGGUUCGGGGUUAAGGAAAAACCAGUUUUUCUAGGAAUAGGGUUAAAUUCAUGAUUAAGGUGGGGUUAGAGUAUUUUUGUGUUUGGUUGGGGAUUAGAGUUAGUCCAUGAUAGUGAAAAAUAGUGUUUGGUUGGAGUAAUAGUGUUUGGUUGGAGUAGAUGAGAUAAGAAGGAUAGUGAGUUAUUAUGAAUAGAAAAUAGUGUUUGGUUAGAGUUUGGUGAGAUUAGUUGGGGUUAACUAAUACCACCCAAAAUAGGCUAUCCCAAGUUAGAUGGGGUUAGCAUUUUUGUGGGUGUUUGGGAAUUAUAUAGGGGGGUUAAGGGGUUAUUCCACCCCUUAACCCCCAACCAAACAUGAUUGUAUCUGAGUCUGUCUUUUGUUUUUUUGAAAGUCUUUGUUAUUCAUAAUUUGGUAAAAUAGAAUAUUUUACUUACGAGAUGAUUUAUCUUAUUUUAAAAAAUUGACUCAAAAGUCAAGUGUGAUUACAUAUUCUAAAUAUUUGAUCACACUACUCAUCUAAAUAAUAUAUAAUUUUCUUGAGUAAGGCUUUAUUUGAAUGCAUGAAUACUUUGUUCAGUAUAUCUCUUUUAUUUAUUUAAGAAAUUUAUAGGUUUGAUUGAUAAGGAGUGUGAUACAAUAUUUAAAAUUAAAUACUACAUUCCACCUUCAAGUUAAUAUUCUGGAUAAGAUAAAUCACCUCGGAUGUAAUAUCACACAUUACAUACUGUAAUAAAUCGGCUACAAUAUAUUUUUUACAAUCUCAUUCGACAAUGAAGAAAAACAUUCUUACAUGCUUUCAUCCCAACUUCAUUUUGCCAGUUAGCAUCAAAUAGACCUCAAUACCGAGCCCUAAAUUAAUAAAAUGAACAGUUAUUCUAAUACAAUAUUUGAGGAGGUCACAAGUUACAAUCUCAUUAAGAGUGUAAGUUCAAAUCUCAGAUUUAAUGUGCUGUAUAUAUUUUAAAAGUAAAUAGAUUAUUAUCAGAAGCCUUAUUAAAAAGACAUAAUUGACUGAUAUUCUCAUCACACCAAAGCAAUGGUUUCUGACUACAAGUUUUCAGCUAUAUAAAACUGUAAGCACUUGCAAAAGAGGCUCAAUAUAAAUAAAUAAGCAUAAAAGGAAAAAAGAUUAAAAAUAUAGAACAUAAAUGAGGAAGAUGUGUGGUAUAAAGCUAUAAACAAGUAAUCUACACUCAGUGAUCUUGGUUAUGUUGUUGUCUGCGAAAUAAGGCGAACUUCGUAUAGAUCAUCUUCUCCUUUUCCUGGAAUGAUACAAAGACAAUAAUAAUCAAUAAAAAAGUUUAAAGAAAUUCUAAAUAUACCUUUGUUCUGUAUGAGGAAAAAAACCCCUAAAAAAGGGGAAAUGUUACGAAAGCUCACCAAUUUCCGCAGCAAUUCCUGGCCCGAAAAACGAAGCAAACUUCGCCUAAAAAUCCACCAUCACAAAGCAUCACAGUAAAUAUGCACAGUAAAUGCGGUGGCUCAUCUCACUAGUAAAAUGCUAAUUUGAACUUUGCACCGGAUGUUCGCAAACUUUCAACUAUUACAAUUGGCCAGUCGGAUUCUAAAUUCCUUUGUGAUCUUACCCAUCUGAAUUUUUUUUUGGGUCCAAAUUUGGUGGAGAUUAUCCGAAGGGGUAAGAUUACAAGAAAAUAUGACAUAUAGAGAUCCAAUUGUAUAAGCUAAAAGGUCGAGGAUAAGGUUGAAACUACGCUGAAAGGUUCGAAGAACCCUGGUGCAAUUCACUAGAAACAUGAAAAACCUCUGUUACUGUUAUUUGCAAAAGCUACAUUAGUUUCAUUUAGGGGAAGGAGUGAUACUUGUCUCUGCUCAAAAUCUGAUAACUGCAAAGCUUUCGCUUUAAACACGAGGACUAAACAAUACUUUCCAUCCUCUGUGACCUGAAAGGAAGUACAGAUAUAAGUGAAAUUCGUUAAAUAUAAUCCCACAUCACAGACACAAGAAAAGAACCCAUUGAAAUUACAACUCAAUUGCAACUGAAUUUACUAUUCUGCAUCUACUUGUUAGGGUUCAAUGCCUGCAACGCUCCUCCUAGACUAACCAUGCUAAUUUUAUGUUCAUGAUUUCUUAAGUCGAACAAAGAGUGGUGCCAAAAAUAUCCAUAUUCAAAUAGAAUUAAUUUAAAAACACACAGCAACUUCUCACGGAAUGAGAGAAAAGAAACAAAAUUGACACCAAUCAGUGAAUUUGUUGGUAAGCAAUAGCUCUCCCGGACACAGUGGAACCUACAAAUUAAGCUGGCUCGGUGCUGAAAAAAAGGGUUAAACUCGGCCCAAGUUCCGAAACUAAAAGAAGCGGAGUUCAUUUUCUAAAAUCUCCUUAUGCAAUACCUUUGCUACACUCAUGAACUAUGUAAAUCAGUAAAUAUUUAAUACAUAAUGUAAAUAAAAACCAGCACAUGAAAAAAGACUAGCUAUAUAAAAUCAGAAGUUAGAACUGAAUGAUGCACUCGACUUGCAUGCCCAAUGAACAAGCCUAUCAUCAAGAAUAUUAAUUGAGGUACAUAGGAAAGUAAUUAUUCAAAGAUAAAAAGAUAUUUAACAUACUUCUUCACGGAUCAAUUGUAAAGUAGGAGCACUACGCCGCGAGAUGCCGCCACCCUAUAAAUUAAAUGAAAUAAUCAGGUUCCCUGAUAGGAACUACGCAAAUGACGUAGAAAGUCAGCAGAAAACCAAGGAUAAUGGAACAUGAUCUUUGUAGAGUUUUUAGUUUUUCAGUUCAUUGCAUAUAUGCUCCCUGCAAAUAUGCAAACUUUUGCAAAUACACCUGUAAAGUUGGUAUAUUGCAUGCUUCUCCCUGAAACCUAGACUGUUUGCAAUAUGCCCCUAUGGAGGAAUCUAUAUAGAACAGGUGUUUGCAUAAAUAUCUCUACCAGAGGUAUUUAAUGCAAAUGAAUACGGUUUUCUCGAUAUGCAGGAAUUAAGUAUAAAACAUACAUCAAGUGAGAAACUACCUGGCCAUACUGGAAAAUUCGCUUCAGGGCCUCAUCCAAAUGUUGCUCAUCACCAUAGCGAUAGCGUAUGACAUCAUCCCUCACCUAGAACAUGAACAAAGACACUUCAGUCUGAAGAUGGUAUCAAGAUUCAAUCCUUAACAUCAUAAUUUUCAAGAAAGUACGCCAGGCUUUUUUAAUACCAACGGAGAAAAUGAAUCAUACAAACAAAAAUUUAGCUGCUUCUGCUAUGAGGGAAGGCUGAAAUGAACUUCUAGCCCAUAAAGCAAACACUUCAGUCUGCAGAAGAAAGCCGUAGGAUCACUUUUUAUGAAAAAGCCGUUAAUGCUUUCCUCAAACAUGCUCAACCGAAAGGCACUUCUGGCAGAAGCUCCAGCCGGGCCAUAACCAGCCCCAAGACAGAUUGAAAAAUCAGCCAACGUUCUAACCAUUGUACGCAAUGAUCCCUAUGGGUCUAAACUUAUAAGAGACGUGAUCCAAGAGAAAUGCCUACUUUAGCAAACAACAUAAAGUAUGAAUCUCCUUAUUCUGGCUCCUUCUCAAGCAGUGUACUGUUUUCAAAAUUGUCCGCGCGGUCAAUAAGUUCUAAAUUAUGUUGCAUUGUUCAUUUGCAACUUAACACAAAAAACAUUGAAGAUAGCUAAGCGAAAAAUGUCUCGACAAAAUGUUUUACAACAAUAAUUAGAAGCUAAACGAGAUAAACUAGUAAAUCAAGAUAGGAUUAUUCUCUAGUUUUAGAACCAAUGACAUUAUCGAUGGCUCCUCCUCUUCACCUUUUCCUUCUUAAAAGAAACCCCUGCAGCAUCAAGAAAUAAACAAAACCUACAGACACAUACUGUUCUGAAAAACUAUCAGCCUUACAUCAUCUUAGCCGGCUCAAGUGGGUAACAUUCUUAAGAAAUUUUGAUCCACAGCUGGAGGAAAGUAACUCGCCUUUCAGUUCCAAAAGUUACCUGUUUGAGAAUAGGAGUAGCGCAGGUCUCUCUCAAGGCUUGUGCAUCUGCAUAAGUUAUGCACGGAACCGGUUUCAAUUCUGCAUACUGCAUGUACACAAACAAAAAAUCAAAGGAAAUUGAGAAUCUCGAGUCGGCAAUAUCAGCAAUGCAGAGGGUUCUCUAAAAAAGCUUCCAACCCAUUUUGCAUUAAAAACAGCAAAUAUUCGGCUAAUUGGACAUUUCAAGCAAAACAAACCGUUACAUUGUUAGUUGUACAAACCAGCUUUCCAUAUCAUAUUAAAACACUAUCCCUGGGUUUUCCAAAACUAUCUAAAUAGAACAUAUCGCCUAUAGCUUUUCGGUACUAGAUACAUGAGUAUCUUUCGAUAUGUAUACGUCUUUCAGUGCAGGCAUUAUUGGAUAUGUAACGACCCGGCCCGCUAGCAAUAAUAACUCGUUAGAUCCAAACCACCGGUUACUAGGGUGCGAUGGCUCAUAUAUUUGCAAUCAGAACCUUUUUCUCAUCCGAUGUAGGACUAUUGGGGCGUUACAUUAUAAAACGGGCAAUUAAAGCCCGAGGGAAGUAAAGCCAAGUUCCACAAGAGCUUCCUUUGGUUCUCCCCAUUUAUGUUUUACCUUCAAGGCCAUGCCAAUAAUUGAAAGAGGAAACCCAUAAGUCAGCAUCAGAGCAGACCACUCAGAACCAGGAAAGAUACUGAAAUAUGCUCCGAACCCAUAACUGAAAGGUAAGAACCAUAAAUUCGGAUCAGUCGGGGAUUCUAAUUCGACGAAAAUGUUGUGAUUCUCACACACUUACGAGAGAAGCGAGCCACCAACUGCUAAACCGAUCACACCGAACGAUAUCUGCAACCAAAACAAAAAAAAGAAAAAAAAAAAGAAAUGCUAAGAAGUUUAAGAGAUGUGAUGCUAAAACUCUGUAAAGAGAGAAAUAAGCAACAUGCGUGUGUAAUCACUGAGGGAGAGUUUGUAACAGUUGCCUAUUCGGCCUUGCUUUUGGAGCAACUAUUUUAUUUCGAAUAAAAAGUAGAAACUAGAAGGUAUUUGGAAAAAAACACCCCCUAGAAUUUGAGAUAUAGUUAAUACAAUUUGGGCGGUGACUAAAUUUAUAAGGUUAAGCGUGCUAGGACUAGAGUAGUUCUGAGACGACGGGUGAAAGUCACAGAAGGGUUACUUUGGCGAGGGAGAACUGGUCGUCCUCGACGGUGGCCUUGCCGGGGGCGGCGGAGGAGGAGGCUCCGGAGGAGUCGGCGGCGCCGGCGAUGAGGACGAGCCGGGCCCGGCGGCGGCGCCGCGGAGCGACGGCGGCGGCGGCGGCGGCGCCGGAGCGUCGCUGGUGAGGGGAGGCGAGAAUCGCUGCCGGGAGGAGGGCGAGAAUCUGGAGCGAGCGCGGCCCCGCGGCGUACUCCAGCGACAUCUUUUCUUUUUGUUUUGUUUUUUUUAAUUUGGGAUUUGUAAUCCUGGAGGGGGGAAUUUCAAGUGGUGGGGAGUGGCGGAAGAAGGUGCUGCGUGGAAGAUGUGGAUGCGGCUGGCAGCAGCUGGGAUCGUCACUCGCGUGCGGUAAGCCGACCUUUCUGCAAAUUGAACCUGACCGGCGCCCGCCCGGUUUCUUUUGACUAAGGUGGCAAUCUAGCUCGCUAUUUGCCGGUCCGCUUGAAUUCGGCUCGAAAUGAGUUCGAGAUCGAAUUACUCGUUUAGUAAACAAGAGCCGAAUACGAGGUGGGAUCAACUCGCUCGUGUUCGGUUCGAUAAAGCUCGAAUAUAUAUAUAUAUAUAUUUUAUAUUUAUAUGUAAAAAUAAAUAGUUAUAUAUAUAUAUGAUAUAGAUUUUUUAUUAUUUGAAUUUUAUUCCAACCUAAAUAUAAAGCCCUACACAAUUAUGAAAAAGCCAAUAAAAUUUCAACUAUUAGAUCUAGACUUGGCAAACGGGCGAGUUAGGUAAUCCGUGAGUGGGUUAUUGUACAUGCUUAUGGUUAUUUGGGCAUGGGUAAAAUUUGCCCGCAAAUUUUUGGGUAGCCAACAUUUUUGGAUGGGCGGGCGGGUAUAUGGGUUACCCGUAAUUUUUUUUUGUUCUUAUAUUUUUUAAAUGCAAAACACAUACAUAAGUUUUAAAAACGUACGUAAUAUAACCUCAUUAUUUAAAAUAUCAUAACAUACAAUAAAAAUAUUUGAAGUAUUAAAAAAAAUUAUUCCAUAAUAUAAAGACACGCAAUAAAAAAUUAGGAUUAGAACUUUUAGGAUGGAUAAAUAAAAAAUAUAUAUUAAUUAAGAAAAUAUAUUUUGUAAUUAAAAAUAUAUGUGCGGGUACCCGUGGGUACCGCAUGUUAUCCAAAAUGCCUGCUGUUUAAUGGGUACCUAUUCGUUUUACUCGUAAUUUUUUGGGUUGGAAAAAUUGGUACCCAUACUCGCAAAUUUGUGGGUAACCCGCGGGUACCUGCGGGUUUGGGUCAAAAUUGCCCGGUCUAAUUAGAUCAAAGUUUAAUAGAUAAGAUUUUAUAGUUUUAUUUUCUAUAUAUUUUCUUUCUAAUUCUUUUAACUUGUUAUUCAUGAGUUAGUUUGUGUUCGGUUCAUGAAUAAAUGAAUUGAAUACGAGCUGAAUUUUUUAGCUCAAUAUUUUUACGAGCCUCGUCGUAUUCGACUUUUUCAGCUCAAUAUUUUUACGAGCCUACACGUAUUCGGCUCGUUGACACGGGACACCCCUAGUUACCUAUCUAUCAACGACACACACCUAAGGACAAAUCGUGUCCUUCGAUAGCCCAUUUGUUUUAUUAUUAUUUUUUCUAGCUACUAAAAUUUAAGAAAUUAUAUUAAUCAUUGGAUCUUUCAAUGUUACAUGUACACUCCUAUAAGGAGUAUAGAUGUAGCAUUUGUGUUUUUCCUACAUGUAAUUGCCUACAACCGCAUGCCAAAUGGUCCCAAGUUGACAAGCACGCACAAAUUAGAAUUUAACCAAUUCACAUUACUCACAAUUCUCCGCUUGCAAAGAUUUGAUAGCAAUAGUUUAAUUCAUAUAAUAAAGUUUCUCGAUCCUUAUGCACUCGAGUUACACAAAUUCAAAUAAUCUUUAAUAAAAAUAAAUAUUUAUAUGAAGAAAAUAUAAGAUGUACACUCUCGAUCUUUUAAAAUACAGAAACAGUAUUGCUCGACAAAGAAAUAGCAUGAUUGUUAAUUUCUAAAUUUGUUACUCCUUCGUGUCCUUGCCCAUAAUCAAAUGAAAGCAUCAAAGAAAGAUCCCACUAGAAAAUCCUAGAUACAGUACUAGUGGAUCUGUUCAUAUAAGAACACAAGAGUUUACUUUACUAACCCUCUACCAUGCAUGCAUGUUACUAUACAUGUAACAUGGCAGGGGAAAAAAAAGAGCCCGUGAAAAGGGAAUGAAAAGAAAAAAUGAUGUUAAUCUGAGUAAUUGUCUUUGAGAGGUAAUUAGUCAUGCCAACAAAGAAGCAUGAUGAUGCAGCGUCUGAUGAUGUAGAGCUUCGCUUUCCGUCCUUUCGCGGCUCCGCUGACCCCUUCUUGCUGCUGCUUUCGUUCGCCUCUUCUUGCGUUUUGUUCGCCUCUUGCCUUCAUGACUAUGAACUGAUUUGAUCAACAAAAGAAUAUUGAAGAAGAGUGAAGACUAUAUAAGAAGCAAACCAUACUAUGCAAGAAACAAACUAUAAACUUCACUUGUCCUAGUUUGAGUUGGUUACUGCAUAGGAUUUGGGAAUCGGAUCUCUUAUAUUUGUAAGGAGAGAAUGUGGGCUAGGGAGGGAGAGAGAGAGAGAGAGAGAGAGAGAGANUAGCUUAUUAAGUAAAACAACUAAGGUUAGAAUUUAGGAUAUUGAACACUAAUCAUUAAAUACUAAACUAAUUGCACUAUGUACGGGUCGAUAGUCCUUAAUUCUUUGUGUUGACAAAAAAAAAAAAAAAAAAAAAAAACUACAUUUAUCAAUUUCCUCACGUACUAGAGCAUAAUAAGUUUUGUACAAUGCGGAAUGAUAGAAACCCGUAACAUAUGGGACUCUAAAUUAGUUCAUACGUGCAUUCUAAAAAGUAGCAUGUAAAAUUAUUAAAUAGUACAUCAACUAUCUCACUGUGCAAUAUUUUUGGGACCAAAGCAAUUCCCUUUCUCAAAUAGAUUUUUUAACAUGAAUAAGCCUCUCUCUCUCUCUCUCUCUCUCUCUCUCUCUCUCUCUCUCUCUCUCUCUGUUAUCCCUAUUGCACCUUUGACUUUGAGAUAAUUGACCAACCAUGCAUAGUGCAAUCUCUUUAAUUUUGUGGGAAUUAAUAAUUUGACUAGCCAAAUCUCAGAACUCAUUAACUCCCUCUCAUAUAUAACUGCCUCCUGCUUCUUUGAAGGGGUGUUUGGUUUGUUGGAAAAGAAUGGGAAAAAAAAAAUUUUGAGAAAAUAGUUUUUUAUGAAAAAUUAUUUUUUUUCAGUUUUUGUUUGAUUCUAAGAAAAAUAGGCUUUUAUGAAAAAAAAAAUUAUACUUUAUGAAAAACUAGUAUUUUCAUUUUUUUAAAAAAAUUGAAAAAUGAAAAUGUUAGUUUUUCAUGAAAUAUAGAAAAAGAUUUUCAACAAUACUUAUUUUCUUUCAAACUAAUUGGACGAAAAAUUGGAAAAAAAAAAAAAAAAAACAUCUUGAAAAACUUUUUUCCACACUUUUUUAAGGAGCCAAACAACCCCUAAGAUAAUUAAUUAACUACCCAAAAUGCUACAACUUGUACUUUAAGAUUAAUAGACACCUAAAUUUCAAAGAGAAAAACAAGAGAGAAAAUUAACAACUUAAUUUGUAGCUUUUUCUCAAUGUUAAUUAUAAUUUAUAUAAGCUAUAUAUGAGAAUGUUGGUGGGGUCUGUCUAGCAAAAUAUAUACUGUGUAGUUUUUUUUUGAGAACUUUUUUAAUUCUGUAUCGCCUCAUUUUAUUUAAAUAUAUUUUCGCUCUCUGGUGAUUUCUCUCAAAAAAAAUGUUUUAGAGUGCUGGACAAAUACUAUUACACUAUGAUUUUCCCUAACUACUUCUAUUGUUCUCUAUAAUAUUUUGUAAAUUUAUGUGAUCUCUCAUUGAAUAAUUAGAAGAAAAUAUCUACUAGAGAAAUAAAACUAUUAAAACGAAGGGAUGAAACUAAUUAAUCUCUCAUUAUAACAUCUUUAAUAAGACUAGUUCUACAGUUGUAGUUGAAUACUCUUGAUCAUCUUCUAAUUAAAGGGCAAUAUGCAUGUGUUAACAUAUGAAAAUUUUGUUUUACUAUUCUGGUUUAUCAGUUUUUUCGGUUUUUGAUUUGUAUAAUUGAAUCAAACUCAAUUCACAAUAACAAUCAUAUCGAAAAUUAACUUUUUUUAAUCGUAAAAUGGCACAACUAAAUCUAAGGAAGGUUUUAAAAAACUACUAGUUUUAAGGGCAUCUAACCUCUUCUUACAAUAACUUCUACGCGCUACUUAUUGCAUAAAUUAUUUGUCUACGAGUAAAAUAACACAAAGGGCCGGUCUAAAUAUGUUUUAUAUUAAUAUUUCCAUGCAUAUAUUCCGAUGAUUGAAAUAUGGUUUAAAUUGAGUUGACUAUUGCUUUGAUUGGACCUUAAAGAUUAGACAAAGCAAAUCUAAUGAAGUUUUAGCUGUUGGAAUGUUAAGGGAACUUCGUUGAUUAAAUGUUUUAUUUGUCUUUGAGUAAGUUCUAAUUGUGAAUGGAAUGUGACCAAGGACAUUGAACUUUAUUAUGAGUUUACCAGGAUCCAACUAAUUAAGUAACACCUCAUCAAAGUUACAAUCAUGUGAGAGGCCACAAUGUCAACCAUUUUUAUAUUAAUUAUUAUUAAGCACAAAGUCAACAAAUAUUUUAAGGAUAAAAAAAAAGGAAAGUCAAAGAUUGUGUAAAUUAAAUACUAUACAUUGAGUUAAACGCGGAUGGUGUAUGAGGUUAUCAAUUGUUGAUUAAUGAUGAUCUAAUGGAUGAAAUUUUCAAUUCAAUUAUCAUAUAUUAAUAUGUUGAAGGAGGUUAUUCAAAUUCAAUUGUUCUCUUAAUUAGAUCUCACAUUGCAUGAGAAAUGAACAUUAAUAAAAAAAUUAUACAUUUUUGCUUAUUUGAAACUUCAAAUACUUUAGAUAUAGGAUCGAGUUUGCGAAUGCAUAGUUCAAAAUUUUGGUGUAUAGGAUGUCUCAAAUUGGUUAGAGAGUACAUGGAACAUUUUUGAAAUAUUUUAAAAUUUGUUUUCCUAGUUGCAUUAUUGAUUUUUUGCGAUAGUCUCAUCUUCAUAAAUAUUGAAGUAUUUCAAAAAUGUAAAUAUUUUAAAUUGUAUUUAAGAUAAUAAAAAAAAUUAAAAAACUCUAGGGGCUAAAUAUGAUUGGUUGGAGACACCACAUCACUCAUAUGACUGCCACAUUUUAGACUUUUUUUUCUUGCCCAUGAGCAUGUAAUAUUUUUUUUCCCUUUUUUGUGGGGGUACUUGCAUUAGAGCUAGUAUAAAACAACUUAACAAAUUCAGAUUCGAAUAUGGAUCCAUUUACAAUCUAAUCCUAAUCCAAUAAUAAUAUGGACCCUAAUAGUUGGUUAAUUACAAUUAAUGGGGCUUGAGAUAAGCUAUAACCUGAUCCCACAAUUUUGGAAACCUCCAACUUUGCAUGCUAAAUAUUAGGAAUUUGUUCAUUUAAUUUUUUAUUCCACAUUAAUUAAGGAAGAGGAAUUUAGUAGUAUGCUGGUUGUUGCAAUUUAUUUUUACAUUUCUUAUAAAAGUGAACUAAUUAGUGUUUGAUAUUUAGGAAACAAACAUGUGUAGGGAGGUGUUUGAGGUAGAUAGAAAUUUACCUGUAGUUUUGUGAACUAUGCUGUUUGAUUUAUAAUUUAUAUAGUUAACAUUGAAAUGAUGUUAGUUUAAGUCAAUGCAUUAGUAUUGUAAAAUAGAUCCCAUAAAUCAAUGCAUUUGUCUAACUAUUGCUGUAAUUUUAUCAUGUUAGAUUAAUCAAAUUUAGGAAAUAAUAUGUUAGGUUCUCCCCAGAGGAUAUGUUAUUUUAUGCUAAUCCAACUUUAUUUCAUUUGUAUAACAUAAUCAAGAGAUAUGACCAACAUGUAUUAAACAUUGUUGCCCCAAAUAUUCCACACAUGGUUGAACAUAAGAAGUUGCGACAAAAUCGUAAUGGUAGUAAUUAAGCUAAUCCUUUCUUGUCAACUCUAAAGACACACAAAUAGCAGGCAUUUUAAUGAGGGAACAUCCAAACUGCAAGUUGUUUUCCAGCCACUGUAAACAAGAUCACCAAGCUUUUAAAAUGGCAGUGUUACUUCGCGUCGAGACGCUGAUUACGAAAGAAGAAUCUAUAUAAUCUUUGGAUCACACAUCUUAAAUUGGUGCAUGAUGAAAUUACCUGUGUGGUUCCUCUCACAGCAAAAGAGAGUAUUUACAAUUUUACAUAGUAAUUUAAAAAAUAACAUAUAUACAAAGUCAGAGGGUUGUCCUCUGAGCACCCAAGAAGUUGCUUGCAUGUUGGGGAAGGGAGAGAUUGGUUCUCCCCUCAAAAGUUCAAUCCUAGCUCUAUCUCUAUAAACUCUUCUCUUCCCCUCAUCACUAACUAAACUAAAACUAUCCAACUUGAUUAAUCUUCUAGUAUCAUUUUGCUUAUACUCCCUCUCCCUCUCUCUAUCUCUUCUCCUUUUGUUGUAGUUCAUAAGAUCCAAACUAUAACAACCAUGAAGUUAAGAGGUGAAGGGAGGCAGAGAGGAGGGCUGAGCAGAGGUCUCCGAGAGCGGCGGGCGAAGCUCUACAUCAUCCGCCGCUGCGUCGUUAUGCUCCUCUGUUGGCAUGACUAAAUUAGUCCCUAUAUUCAUCUUAACUCUUUGUGUUUUCUCAUCAUAUGGUGGAUGGAGUGCAGUUUAGUGAUUCUUAAGUUCUACAUCCACUGAUCAAUAGUAGUAUCUAACCAUCCUAGGAAGAACCUUUUUUUUUCUUUUUUUCUCUUGUUGGUUUAUUGGUCUUAGGCCAUAUAUGGGCAAGGAUGAAGAAUAUCCAAUUCUGCAGCAUAAAUUGGAGUUACUACUGUUUCCUCUAACCUUUUUGAUUUAAGGUUUUUUUUUUUUUGUUUUUUUUAGGGAAAUGCGUAGACAAAUCUAUUCCAACAAUCACCAAAAGUUCAUGAGAGAAGCUCAGCUUAUAAAUUGUUGCUUCUGCCUAUUUUAUUUUUCGAAACCAAAAUAUAAAUUGCAGAAGCAUCAGAACAUAAGAUAGAUUUCAAAACAUGAAAAAGAUAGCCUAGCAUUAAGACAAGAUUUCACAAAAAACUUGUUUUGUUGUCAAAUAUAAGAUUACUGGAUACAAUAAUGGUAUUCACAAGUAAAUUUUUGUUCCAGUGAACUUAAAACUGAUACACACUGGGCUUUUUAACAAAGGGAUCAUUGAACAAGUGCUGAUUUACAUUCACUAUUAUGUAUGUAUAAGUUACAGUACACUCUUCUCAUCUUACAUGUAAUACCAGCCACAGAACCUGAGAGCUACAACACCAUAUACAAAAUGCUUUAACCCUUCUUAAAUACUUCCUUGGUGCCUAUUUGGCCCGGCUUUGAUAACAACUUUUGUACUCAAGGAAAGCUGGGGUGAACUAGACUUUCGGUGCAAGUAGCAGUUUUGCUGUUGAGUUUCUAGAAAGUGGAGUAAAAGAAGCAGGAGAUAUUCUUACCCUCUUACUUCCACAUAAGUGUCUUAAUCUCCGAUAGAUCGGAAGUCAUUACGCCAAACACAAACCUUGAGCAACAAAUAUAAUAUUAGAUGUAUUGAAGGUAAACAUUGGAUAUUGACUUCCUCUAUGCUAACUAACAUGCAAACAAGCGAGGUGAAAGUGGAGAACUUUACAAAAGUAAUAUCACGCUUCUUCAAACAGCACUUGUACAAAUGAUCUAGCCAGGCCAAAACGGCUCUUAAAGUUAAUAUCAUAGCAAGGGAAGGAUGGAUAUCGUGGCAUGGAAACAUACAUAGGACUAUAGUUGUUGGCCGUUUGAGUUUAGCGCCUUGAUUUCCGCGCUGUCCUUGAUUUGCUCAUCUCAAUAGGUGGUUUCCAGAUUAUCUCAUCCAGUUUACUGCAGAAGUUCUUGCUGAACUGAACAGAGCAAGUAAUCAGCAUCAGAGCAUGACGAUAGGAAGAUGCACAUUAUUGACUAAACUAAAAGGUGUCCUCGUUUAUCUUCUUUAUUUCAGUAAUAACAAUAGAAUCUCAUUAAAAGGAUGAAAAUUAAGUUCAGAAAAUGCACGUCCCCCACAAAACUAGUAAAACUAUUCAAAGUUUCAACCUCAACCCCUCAACGGCGAAUGUUUUAGGAGGUUCUAUGUAGAUUUGCUAGGACCCAUUAAUUUUGGUCAAUUACGGUUAGAAAAGAAAAUGGUUCAUAUCAAGAACUAGGGAAAUGUAAGUAAAGAUAAGGAACCUGUAAACACUUCUCGUUAUUAUACCUUUCUGGAUAAAAGUAAUAAAAUCUUAAGUCUCAGGCGAACAAUAAAUCAGGACCAAAAGCGAAAUGAAAACCCCUAGUUAGGCCUAAAUUGGUUACACUUCCUCGUUUGUUUUUUAAACCCAAAUUCUAUCCGAUGUUGUGUAUGGGCAGAUAGAGUUCUUUAUUCUCAUUAGUGUGGGUUAGCUCACAUACUCAUAAGCACAAAGAAGUAAAAUGAAGUUACUGGCUAGGUUUUGUUUUUUGUUGCCAAACAAGAUGCAGAAACAAAAAUAUUGCAAACAAUUGGUCAUUUGCCGGCACAUUCACUUGCAUAAUAUUUUGAGUGUAAAAAAACAAGAAAGCAAUAAGUGCACCCAUACGAGGCCUCAGGUUUUUUAAAUCUUCUGAUAAACUCAUUGCUUUCAGUCAGUUUUGAGUGCAACUAACGAGUUUACGUCGAAGUUCGUUUGAUAGUAGAAAAUUCCUCAAUUUUCAGCUCAAAUCAACUUUUCAUGUCUGAAGUUUUACAAUAUAUACAAAUGUUUUUACGUUGACAGGGCUGCUCUAAUUCUGUAGUUAUCCCAUAAGUUUCUGAAUUAUUUUUGAGAGUUUUAGGAUGAAACUAAAAUGGUCAAACUCCAGAGCCUACAGAAACAGAAAAAACCAAAAUUGGAACUUCUGACCUUGCUAAAAAUAACUUUAUUGUAAUCUGAUCAUUUCAAUGGGAAAUAUAUAAGAUGGCAAAAAGUAGAUUUGUUGAAUAAAUCCUUUUUUUAUUUCACAUCAAUAAAUUCAAAAAAUGCGUACGAAACCACGAAAACCAACCAUUACAUUCCCAGCCCUUUCGUGGCUAAAUGGCUCACUUCUAGAGCAUAGAUCUAUAUUGUCAUGCUAAAGGUAUUUGUCAGCUCGACAAUUGACUUGAGAACUAAUUUUAUUACCUUGAGAUAUUCAGACACAUCUCCAGCUGCUCUUUGAAUUUCCACCAUGAAAAGCGAUGGAGCAACUUCAAAGAUCUGCUUCAAUUUUAGAUAUUCACAGAUCAAAGAGGAGGUAAAAAAGGAAGAAAACAAUGUUGUCAUUUAGAAAUUGAAAAACUAAGCUACCAAAAAGAACAAAUAAUCAGCAAAACCAAACUGAGAGGGUAACUCACUUGGAGCAUAACAUAAAGAUGAGCAGUUCUGUCUGCCGACAAACCUUCCACCCUCAUCUGGAGAUUAACAUCAUAUAGGAUUUAGCAAUUAUUGAAACAUUUUGAUAGUAAUGACUAACAUGUUUAGGUUGAUUACCAUUAAGCAAAGAAUUAAGAGUAGAGAAAAAAAAUCUAUAUCAUGAAAUCAACCUAAUGCCAUCAAAAGAAUUUGAUCAUUGUAAGGAAACAGACAAAUACAUUGCUUUUGUGCCUUCCUAUGAGAACAAAAGCACAAAAACAUAGUAGAACUUGCAUUUGCUCUUGACAUACCAUUGAUCUCAAGAUGGUCAGAGUUCUCCAUAAAUUGAUUUAUUCACAAAAACACUGACACAAAGAUAUUUUAUAUAUUAAGCUCGUGAGGCGGAACUCUAGAAGUAAAUUUAUUAAUAAUUCAACAUUUCUGGAAGUAAAAUUUUUCUAGAAGUUUCAGCACAUACUGUUGUUACCCACAAUAUGACAUUUUGAUGAGCUUUUCUUCAGUCUAGACAAGGGAUGUACAAUUUGGCUCCACACAACUGAUUGAAAAGAGAAGUUAGUGAAAUAUGCACAAAUAUGCACCUAGAUCUCUUCCAUAAUGCUUAUCUAGAAUUUCAUGGUAGUGGGAACAUCGUCUUUAGAGAUAACAUGAAAAACAACUGAGCUUUACAAUGAAUUAUCUAAAUAAGCAUACCUAUGACAUGGAUUUUACAAAUAUCCAUAUCGUUCAUUUCCAAGCCCUCAAAUAAAAUGAACAGAGAUGAAAAAGGCACAAGUUGACAAACUACACUAGAACCUUCGGGCUAUGUUUGGCCCAUAGCAGGCCUCACUCUUUAUAAAAUUACAGAUACAUAUUAACAAUAUAUAUAAAAGGUCGAAUUUCUGUUUCUUUAUAAAAAAUCAUUUGUUUGAUGAUCAACACAGUAUACUCACCUUAUAAUUACGAAUGUGAGUCUUAAAUCCCAUUGACUGAGCAACAACUUCCAUACUCGACAAGACAACUUUUGCUGGUUUGCGUGAUAGAAAACGAGUUUGAUGUUUCACAUUAUCCUGUCAAAAUAUUCAAAAAUCAUAUCGCAGUGAAAAAUAGAAUCAAUAUGUCAAAUAUAUGCAGUGAUGAAGAAUCAUAAUGUGGCAAUAUGGUGGAUUUUAUCAUGCAACUUAAGGGAAUUAUAAAAGGAUAGAGGCACUGUUUAUUAAAUUACUUGAUUGAGAGUGAUGAAAUAGAAAUUAUAAGUGAAUUCUUUGCAGGAAAGAAUUCAAACCACUGGCAAUCAAGCAAACUAAAUGACAUAAAAAAUGCAAGAUGCCAUAUAAGUCCAACUAUCUAUAAUAGUAGAAUCCAGAGAAAUCUAAAUAUCUUUGAAAGAAUCAUACCUGUUUCCGAUCAAAUAGUGCUGAAAGGUUCAAUCCUUGGGAAAGAAUAAUUAAAUCAAAUGCAUUAAGAAUAAGAGGACCCAAUUCCUCAUUCCUUGAUUGCUCAGGCACCCGCUGUUAAGUCCAAGAUACCAUUAUCAAACAAGAAGCCAUCUUAUCAGUGAAGGACUACUUUAGAUUUAGACUUUUUUACAUUCAACAAGCCAGUUUAUUAUAGAAAGGUAAGAGUCCUAUAGGUUUAGUGCUCACACCAUUACGAUGAGCAAUCGAGUAAAAGUGUAGCCACUACAAACUUCUAUAUUUCAAAAUACAGAUUCAAAGAAUCAAAAAAAUAUGCUUGUAUCAAACAUUUAAGAGCUGUACAGAAUUCAUCAUGCGGAUCAUGCUGUACUGCAUUGUACCAAGCUGACAAGGUACUGGCACAAAGCUGAUGGCAUGGCAUGAAAUGGUAAAAGUAAAACCCUCUUUUAUUAUACUGUUCAUGAAUUGGAUGAUCGAAAUAUGAUGAAACAGAGGAAUCUUUGGGAACACUUUGAUUUACCUGAUACAAGUAAUGGACAGAUUUUUUGGUUUUAUCAACUGUCAGCAUCAUGAAUGCAUUUGGAUUUUAAAUAUUUAUAUGCAUUAAGAGUAAAUUUUGAGGGAAUUUGGUUUUCCCCAAAUUUGUGUCCUCAAUCUAAUGAAACAUGUACUUUUUUAAAAAAAAAACUCUUUGAAAUUAACAAAUAAUUUCCAAUGUUCCAAAAGGCAGUAUGCAAUAUCCAUGGGGUUACCCACAGCCACGGUCAAUCCUACCUUUCAAAAAAAAAAAUAUUUACAGCAUAUGCACAGCCACCUGCGGCAUAUGCGGUCCGACCGCAUAUUAUACAGUGCAGUUUAUAGUCCGAACCACAUAUGCUGCCACAUAUGAGGCUGCAUGGACUGCUUUUUCAAAUAUUGAUAAUUUCACAAAUAGAUAGCAAAAAAACGAACACUCAGAAUAGAUUAUUGCGAAAAGUCCAGAAUGUGUAGACAGGGGGUUACUGUGUUGCUAGCAUGUAAUGCAUGCCAGCGUAUCGGCACAGCACUGAUCAUGCCAGAAAUUGUCGGCAUGACCCUGUAGUAAGGACUUAAAACACUGAUAUAUAUUACUUUCUUAUUUAAAUGCACUAUAUCCCACUUUUUAAGUCCUAACUUUUUGGUUGUAAAUAUUAUAAGAUUAUUCAGAUCGCAUUUUCUGCUCCGCUUUCCUCAUCCCUUUCUUUCUGAAAUUAAGACCAAAAACAUGAUGAGAAGAAAAUUUUCAGCUCAUAUGAACUUAUGCCACCCCCAAACCUGAUGUGCAAAAGUAACAAGGGCUGGUUUAGAUCAAUAUGGUCUUUCGUGUUUCAUCCUCAAUCUAGGUUUACGUGGCUUUGUUUGAUGAAUAAUAAUAAAUGACAACAGGUAGAAACUUGAAAUUUACGUCGUUAUUCAAAAGACAAGUUUCACUUUCACGGCAUAACAAAGGCAUGAAAAUAAGUUUAAAAAAUCAUACCUCAGGAUCAUCAAAAACAGCAAAGACAUCAUCAAGAUUAACAUCCUCGUGUUCAACUUCCAUAGCAGGCACAUAGUUCUUCUUAAACCACUCAUCAUUUCUAAUCUCUUCGAUCCUAAUACGCUGGCUCCAAUAUGAACAAACAAUCAAUCAACAAAGAUUAAAGCAGAUACUCUAUCCAAUUAAUGUGAAUCACUAUCUACCAGACUAUAGAAAAAUAGUUGUAUUGCAUGUUUAGAUAUUUAAAGAAAGAAACGUAGCAGGGAUUCUCGUGCUUGUAGGCACAGUCUGGCAUGGCCGGCACGUGCAGAUCGUGCCCAUAAGCCCAUGCCGACCAUGCCAACAUAUAAAACGGGAUGUGUGUCGAGGCAUGCCAGCUUGCCAUUCCAUGCCAUUGGCAGACUGGCACGCCAACGCCCCUUGCCAGUGGCACAGCAAUCCUUGAAACAGAGAAGCAAAUUUUGAAAUCAACAAAUCAUUCACCUUUUACUUUCACAUUAUAGAAGCAUUAAGUGGUUCUUUGAGAGUUCCUAUUCUAGUUUUAUAACAUUCCAGCAAUUCUUGCUUCCUAGGCUAGGAAAACACAUUUUAUGUUCUUUGUACCCAACAUGUCAUUUAUAAUUCAAAUUUCGAUAUUGGGUUGCUAGGGCACAACUCAAAGAUGCGAAGGCUUUCAAGACAUGACAGAAUGAUCGGUUGUCGCCUUGACAUUAACCCUCCCAAAAGAAUUAGAGAUUGGUGCCAAAUUCCUGGUUUUCACAACCAACUUCUUCGAUCACAUCAUAUGUGUAACUAAAUUAAGUUUCAGAAAUAGAGACCAAGCCCAUGGACAUGUAGUACGAAUAUGAACAAUUAGGCUCAAACCCAUUAAGCAAAUUUUAAAUAUAUGAACAUUGUAGAACUAAAAAGAAACACUUGCAUGUAAGUGAUUAUAGAAGUAAACAAGUGUCACUUACAGUUUCAGGGUUGGGGUCCAGAAUUCUACGAAUUAAGGAUUUUGCACCAACAGAAAACCAAGACGGACAAGAAAACUCUGCCCUCUCAAUCUGUAUAAAGUAAUUCAAGAAACUUGAUCAACUACAAUUAUCUGACGAUACUAACAACAACGCACAUAUUUUAUAGGAAAUAUGGAAUAAAUAAGCAGGAUAUCUUGGAAAUAAAAUGCAGGUAUCUGAAGUAAUUCACUUGUAAAAAGCUGCAGAAGAUUCAACCAAGUAAUAGCCUAUCACAAAAAUUGACCAUAUAAAAAACAUAAUACCUUGCUAUAAAGAGUAGUCAAAUCAACCUCAUCAAAGGGAAGAUACCCUGCCAGUAAAACAUACAGAAUGACUCCACAUGACCAGAUAUCAGCAAUGGCACCAUUAUAACCUUUAUGACUGAGUACCUGUUGUACAAUAUCAUUCAUAAGUCUAAAAUUGCAACGAACUGCUACAGCUACAAAGACCAAUUGCAUUAUUAAGCACAGUGAACAAACUGGGAACAAUUCAGAGCCUCAUAACAAUGUUUAAUCGAUAUUCAAUUAAAGAAGAAUACUCAUUUGUGUUUAAGAACACCUAUCACAUGAGGAGUCGCAGUUAACAGAAUAUAUAUUUGACACUCAUGAUCAAGUACCUAUCAAGAAUAGCUAUUAAUAAAGCAGAAAAUAUUAACAAAGGACUGAAUAAAAAGGUUACUUUUGUAAGUUAAUUUAAAUGCUUCAUAAUGCCACAAAACUACGAGUAAUUUGGAGAUAAAUCUAGCAUUUAGUGAUACAUACAAUAUGCCAAAAGUGUUAAGAAUCAAAUGAGAUGAGGACAUAGUCAGAAAUUUUCUCAGAAAAAGAAAGGAUGAAAACAAUUUCAAGAUGAUUACCUCAGGUGCCACAUAGUUUGGUGUUCCACAAGUAGUGCGUAGUAGGCUAACUCCCUACAGGAAAGUAACCGAAGAACACAAUAACAUAAGUUAAUAGUAGUAGACACUAAGAUAGAAGAAAUGUAGACAAUAGACAAGAUCAGAAUACCAAGAAAGAUAUUAUACUUGAUCAGGCAACGCACUAAGUCCAAAGUCUGAGAUUUUCAGAUUUCCUUGUGAGUCGAGGAGCAGAUUCUCAGGCUGUGUAUAGAGUAAAAGAGGUUAAGGACCUUAUGAAAGGACAAGUGUGUUAUUUUACUUGAAAUUUCAACCAUGUAGCACCUUCAAAUCUCGAUGGUAGACACCUUUAGUGUGGCAAAAAUCAACACCAUCAAUAAGCUGCUGAAAGUAUCUCCUGGAAUCAGCUUCACUAAGUUUCCCACGAUGAACCUGCGCAAUUUGAAAUUGCCUAUCUUAAACUAAAUAAAAUCAACCAUAAUGACGUUUACACUAAAAUAAGCAAUACAAAAAACUACGACAAAAAUCUGUAUAUUUACAUAGCAUAAUACAUAUCUAUAUAAUAUACACACGCACAUAUAUAUAUAGUCCGGCUACUAUGCUAUUGAUAGCACCAAGCGCUUGAUGCUAUUAAGUUUUCCACCAUUAGAUCUACCCCUUUGACUAUUUCGAGCCGUUAAAUCAUAUUAUUCAACCAACUACCCACUCCUCUAGGGGAUCACUAUCAUCUUAACUGCACAUUCCUUUCUCCAAUGGCUGAAAACCUAAUAGCACCGAUGACUCAGUGCUAUUAAUAGUAUAGUAGCCUAUUUCUAUAUAUAUACACAUAUAAAUGCAUACAUACAUACAUAUAUACAUACACACACACACACACACACACACACACACACACACACAUAUAUAGAAAGAGUCCGGCUAUGGUGCUUUUAAAUGUGCCAAACACUUGGUGCUUGUAAGUGUUUCACCGUUAGAUCUAAUCCUUUGAUCAUUUCCACCCAUUAAAUUAUACUAUUCAACCAACCACCCACUCAACUUUUGGAGACCACUAUCAUCCUAACCACACAUCUCUUAAUCUAAGGGUCUAAAACCUAUAAGCACCAAUGACUAGAUACUUUUAGAAGCAUAAGAGCUCAAUUAUAUAUAUAUAUAUAUAUAUAUAUAUAUAUAGAGUCCGGCUACUAUACUCUUAUGAGUACGAUCGUCUUCGUACUCAUAAAUUAUUUUUGAUUAUAGAGCUUCCGAAUCGACGAUCCAUACCGUUAAACAUUAUCUAGAGCAUUUAAAACUUCUAGAAAUCAAAUUUUAUAAUUUUUCGAUAUCAUUUACCUUACGAUCAAAAACUCACAAAAUUGACAAUUUUUAACGGUCGGUAUGGGAUAUUUGCUAGUUUAACUGUGUAAAAGAAUCGGAAUAGGUUGAAAUUUUGAUAGAAAAUGCUAUUCACUACCUAAAUAAAGAUCAAUAACUCCGAUCUUAAAUUGAAGGAUCCGAUCAUCCAUUUUUAAGAUGUCGUUCGAUUUUGACCAUUCAUUUUAUACCCACUUGAUGGACUUUAUAAUGAUUUUGAAAAUUACGAAAUUUAUUUUCUAGAAGUUUCAAAUACUUUAGAUCAUAUUUAAUGGUGUGGAUCGUCGAUUCGAAAACCCCAACAUCGAAAACAACUUAUGAGUACAAAGGGCUCUAUACUCAUAAGAGUAUAGCAGCCCUACUCUAUAUAUAUAUAUAUAUAUAUCACAAGCACAAAUAGAAAUGAUUUCUUGAUAAUAUUCCAUUAGAGCCUCACAAUUUUAUCGAACAAUUCACCACCAGUGAUGAAUUCUAGGAUGAUAUAGAUCUUUGUUCGGCUUGCCAAUACCUACACACAGAAGAACAACCAUCAGUUAAUAAAUCAAGAGAAAACUGUCACCAUACAUGGAUUACAUAAACAUUAAGAUUAGGCCUUAGGGGGAAAAAAAAAAACAGGAGUUGGCCAGAACUUGAAAGCUAAGGAUUAUGCUAUUGCCUCGUGUAGUCGGACAACAUGGGGAUGCCUAACAAGCUUCAUUAUGGAAAUCUCUCUCUUAAUCUGCACAAGGAAACAAAUUAUAAAUGAGUCCUCAGUGUAACCCGUAAAUCAUGUUCCUUCUCGAAAACAAUCAUCAUGAAUUACAUAAAGCAAACACGGGCUCAUACCUAUCCGCCCAGAUGAAAAGAACCACACUUUGAAGGAAAUACAAAUGAAAGAAUGACACAAAACCCAGCAACAUUUGUCACAAAUUUCCACAAAAACCCAAUUUAUUAUCAACAGAAUACCAUUCUUCGUGAGUUCAUCAUUGUCAAAUAAAUGGAAUCUUUAUAAAUUUAGCUUUCUUGACAAACCCAAUCCACUUCCCACAUCACAUCUUCCGUGUGACUCAACAAAGAACCCGUGGAUAAUCAGUGAAUCUCCCAAAAAUCUGAUUUUCAUAUUAGAAAGAAUAGAUUUGGUUUUAAUUCUCUCGGGCAAUUCAACAAACAGGUUAAUAUAUGAAAAGAGAGAACCCAAUACACUACCCACAUCAUAUAUUCUCCAAAAGUCCAAUUUACACCGAAAGAUGGGAUUUUUAUUCUCUCCCGCAAUUCAACAAACAGGCUACAAGCAAAAAGGGACAGAGAAUUAAGGGGCUUGGUAUGAAGACAAUGAAACGACCCGACACAUCACCCACAUCAUCAUAUAAUAGAAUCUUUACAAGAACUCGGCUUUUUCUUUCCGACGCAUCCAGUACACUACCCACAUCACAUAUUUACCCAAAAAUCCGAUUUUUACACAAAGAGAUCCGAUUUUUAAUCCUCUCACGCAAAUUCAAAAGGGGUUUUUUUUUCUGUUAAUCGAGAGAGAGAGAGAGAGAGAGAGAGAGAGAGAGAGAGAGAGAGAGAAAGCAAGACCUGGUCGACCAUCUUGUGCUUGAUGAUGGUGGAUCGGUCGAGCACCUUCAUGGCGACGCUCUCCCCCGUCUCCGUGUUCUGCGCGAACUUCACCUUCGCGAACGUCCCCUCCCCGAUCGUCCGCCCCACCUCGUACUUCCCCACCUUGCGCACUCCCANCUCUCUCUCUCUCUCUUCUGCUUCUUUAUAAGAAAAACAAGAAGAAGAUCACAUCGCCAUUGAUGAGCUCUUUUGGAGCUUCUUCUACAGUGCUCUCCUCCCCUUCCUUUGCUUUUCGUUCACUCAAAGCAGGAGCCGUUUGGUGGGGUGUGUACUGCGUAGUUCACUCGCAUAACCCUUUCCGUGGAGAUUUGGCACCGCUAGUGGAGAUUUGGACCCACCACCACCACCACCACCUACCCCCUCUCUCUCUCUCUCUCUCUCUCUCUCUCUCUCUCUCUCUAUAUAUAUAUAUAUAUAUAUAUAUAUAUAUAUAUAUAUUUGAAUUGGACGGCCGGUAGAAUUCGAUCGCUUUUGUUCGUUUUUCCAUAGAAUCGCAAAAUAUAUUAUAAUUGAUUCAUCGCUAAGCGUAAUAUUACGUAAAAAAAUAAACAGAAUAUUUUUUUAUCAUAUUUUUGUAACUUACGUAACGCAAUCUUUUCAUAAUCCUAAAAUAGAGCUUAAAAUAUUACAUAAAUAAAUUUUAUUUCUCGUACCAAUAUGUAAAUUGAAAAAGUUUGUUAUUGACUAAUCUGCAUUAAUCUCAUGAUGAUCCAUUAAAUUACACGAAUUGUAUAAUUUUAAAUUUAUAUUACAUAUUAUACAAAUAACAGUUUUAUAACUUUAUAGUGUUAAAUAUAAAAAUUUGCGAAAAAGUUUCAGAAAAAAAAAAUUAUGCCUAUAAAAUUUAGCACAGUGCUACGACAAUUUAUUUAUGUUUAGAAAUUUUUACUUUCUAGACUAAUGUGUAAAGUAAACCAAAUUAAGUAAAUUAUUUAAAAUAAAAAAUGAAAUUUAGGUAGAUCUUUAAAAAAAGAUUUUUUUUUUCUCCUCUCCUGUGUGGUUAUGUAUAAAAUAAAUUGCGAAUAAUCUCUGUGGGGAGAAAGCUUUGAUCAGCACAUGAUUAGUCAAAAUCUAAUCAAGCCUAGGAAUUGACUUUGGUUUGAUUGGAUGAGGUUGUAGGGGCGGCAUGGAUUGUAGCUACUCGAUUUUGACUUUUACUAGACUCCAAUUACGUUUCAUUUGUCGAGAAAAUCUAUAAUAUAUCAGUUAUAUUACAAAUAUAGUAUUUUCAAUUAGAUCAAUUUUUUUUAAAUUUGUCCAUCACAUCAUAAUUAUUGAAAAAUAUUUUUAUUAUAUUUUUCUAUAAAAAAAAGAUGUUAUUGGCUCGAAAUAGAUGAAGUGGUGUAAGUAUUGCAAUAUAAACUUUCUCCUCACCGGAGAGUUUCUUAUCUACGGACACCUAUAAAUUUAUGUGUAUAUCUUAAAAAAAAAUAAAUUUUGAUUUGUUUUGUAAAUCUAAACACGUUUUAGAUCCGCCAUAUAUAAUUUUACUGGGCAAUAUUAGUCCUCAACCUAAUCAUUAAGUGCAAGGGCGGCUAUCCAGCUUGUUGCUCACGAGUCAGCUCGUGUUUGGCUUGAAAUGAACUCAAGAUCGGAUCGCUGGUUUAAUAAACAAGCCGAACAUGAACUGGAGUCAGCUUGUUUGUGUCCGGCUCAAUAAAAACUCAA